rnacentral:lncRNA from 1 species
UGUUUGACCAAGUAUGUGUAUCUUAGAGUUGGUUAGUAGUGGCCUUGUCGACUACAAUGGUAUUAAUAGUUGAGUGACCCGACUCAACGAGGUUUGUAGGAAAAUAAGAUUUGCAUCUCCCAUGAGUGCAGACAGUAUAGAGCUCUUCGACUACAUGUCUACAUCACCACAAGAGGUCCAACUCUAUGUUGUUAAGUUAAUUGGAUCUGUGUUGGAAACAACGUCGUAAAAGUCGGAAAAAAAAACACUUCAUGAGCCGUGCUUAAAAGAAUGAGAAAAUAAACAAAGUCUACAAAGAAAAAUGAAUUCGCAUGGUAAAAAAGUCAGAAAAAACACCUCAUGAGCUGUGCUUAAAAGAACGAGGAAAUAUAUGAAGUUCUCAAAAGAAAAACAAAUUCUUACAUCACAUAAUUCUGAGACUACUUUUUUUUCACGUGGGCUGGAGGGGUCUCUUUUUUCCUUCCUUAUUUUCCUUGGCAACCUUCACUCCCUCUGGCCCAUCUCGCUGCCGAGCACCCCAACCCCGUAGCUCGUCUUCCUCCUCCCGCGAGUGCCGCCAUCCCUGCGUCUCCAUCCCGCUGCCGCUCGUCUUCCUCCUCGCUCGAGUGCUACCGCUGGGUUGAUCUCUCAUUUGAUUCUCUCACUCCAUGCCGUUUGGUAGUGCAGCCGCCCUACCUUGCCCUACUGGUUCAUCCGCCCGUGAGACCGUGAUACUAUAUGUUUGAGAGUAAAGAAUUCUAGAAAAUGCUAAUAUAGCGAGCUGCAUUUAUUAUGCUAUCUUGUAUAAUUGGGUGACUCUUAAACACACAACAUGUAUGAUUCUAAAAUUCUUUUUAACAGCAUACCAUUAGUAAAAAUUAUGAGAAAAUUGGAAAAAUAGAACUCCAUUGUCGGUUGGGUUUCUAAUCCAAGUAUCCAACAGCCCAACCCGAUACUGUUUGCCUUCUCCUCUGAUCUUCUUCCGGUCCGUUGUUGAACCAGUACAAUGCCUUUUGUCACAUUCAAUAUUGAGCCAAUUACAGCAUAGCCGGUCACAAGAAACUUUUUUUUUCCAAACGCUCGCAACCGUGGCCGUAUUCCAUUAUUAAGCAUAAGAGAGCGCGCAAGGUUCACAAGGUUUCUAUGGUACAUAACACAAACGGAAAUCUGAAAGUAAAGCAAAUAACCACACAAACAAACAGACUUGUGAAAGGCAGAAACUAAAACAAGGCCAGAGUUUUCCAACGGUGAACAUUACCGGGCACCAUUCUCCCGUGAAUUUGCAUCGCCUCUGGGGCCCUCAAUACGAAGAACUUUUCCUCGCCUCUCCCCUGUUCAUGAACUUACAUAGUAACUGCUUGCAGACCUUUGCAGUUUGCACCCUCCAACACCAUGUCUUGGUCCAUGGGUUUCUGCAAUCCUGCCUAGUAAGUGAGAAAGGCACAAGCAUAACAUAAGCGCCCAGCCAAAGAUUUGAUCAAACUAUGUUCAAAACACACUAUAUUUCUUCUUUUCCAAAUACUCCAGCUACAAGACCCACCAACUGAAUAUUGGAUGAAACCACAGGGUAUGGGAGGAACCAUCUGAAGAAAUGAGAAAAACUAUGCGGUCUAGCUCUAGCACCAGUGACAGAACUAAUUACACUCUAGACAUAGCCAGCAGACACCCAAAUGAUGAAGAAUCGAUUCUUCCUGCUGACAAGGUAUUGUUCGAUCUAUUUUCUCUUAUUCAUAUUGUCUUAGCUAGUUUGGUAGCUAGAAACCGGAUCAUGCCAAAUCAACAACCAGAUUUUAAUGCAUAGGGGAAGUUUAGCUUUCCACAACGGAGAAACAAGCUAGAGAUAUAUGAACGAUUGAUCGAUCCAUCCACGAAAAAGUUGUCAAAUGCUGGGACUCGGGAAAUAAAUUUCUCUAGUUUGAUUUAUAAGACUGUAAGUAUCUAUAGGUAGAAGCAACACACACGCACGUAUACAAACCAAUCCAGCAUUUUUAGGCCAUCACGCAAUGCAAGACAUCAAUAAUUAAUAUACUUUGAAGGAUUCUCAAAAAUUCUCAAAAAAUAAUAGGAACUUGAAGAGCUUCAGUAACAAAGCAUGUACGAGUAUAUUGUCCAAUUGACGAUGGAAACGGAGACCUAUACAUUACUAUACUUAUGAAUGACUAGUCGCUAAAUCCUGAACGAUGGGAUCAUAUCGUUGGUACUAUAUCUGAACAAAUCGGUACUCUAUAUAUCUGAACAAAACUAAUCGAAAGUCUUUGGGUAGUCCUCGACGAAACCAUCAUCCUGUUGCUACUAUGGUGAUCCCUCUGAAAGACAAAAUCAAAAGGGAAUUAGAGGACAAGUCAUAACAUUGCACAGAAUUAAGCCAAGUAUAUAUAUAUAUAUAUAAAAAAAAUGAUUACCUGGAGGUGGUGACACGGGAGAAGUAGCAGGCGCUGCUGGAGAGGCAGGAGUCGUCAGCGGGGGCGCGGGUGACACGGGAGAAGCAGGAGAGGCAGGCGGCGUCAGUGGCGGCAAGGGUUGGGCUGUCAAAUCCAUCAACAAGUUAACUCCUCGAAACAGAUAUAAGAAAGAAUCCAUGCACAUAAAGAAACUGAGCGAAACUCUGCAAAUAUGCAAGACAGAGUUAUAGGAUGGUAACUUACUAGCGCACAUGAAGAAGUUCUGUAUCGGUAUCACGGUGCCGCAUCUGGCCGGAAGGAUGAGCAUGCGGAUCGGGUCGAUGGGCUUGGGGAAGAGCUUGCUCAUGCCGCCGUUCAUGCCGUGGCAGAGGCAGAUGGGCGCCUUGCUGACGACCGACUUGAGGCCAUUGCAGCACAUGCCCGGGGGCGCCGGCACUGUGAUGUUUGUGAGGUAAUCCAUGCAUGGCGCCAUGGCCGUCAACGGCGUCAGGCACUCGGCCGGUGGUGGAGGUGGCGUUGGCAGACCGGGGGACGGCGGAGCGCCGCCCGGCGCGCCAAACAACGGUGGGAAGCCAGGGAACUGAGGCAGUGGCGGGAAAGGAAAGCUAGGCAAACCAGGGAUCUGAGGCAACGGCAAUGGGAAGCCAGGGAUCUGAGGCAAUGGGAAGCCAGGGAUCUGAGGCAAUGGGAAGCCAGGGAUCUGAGGCAAUGGAAAGCCAGGAAAGCCUCCGGACCCAGCGGCAGCGGCAGCUUGAGCUUGGGACGAUAGCUCAGGCACUUGGUGAUCUGCGGCUGCGGCAGCUUCCUCGAAUCCUUGAACUCUCGCUGCUGCCACGAAGGCGAAAACAAAGAACAGGGCGGUGAACUUUGACAGCGCCAUGGCCGGCUUGCGCGGCGUGUGGUGGAGGCCGGAGGGAGGGAGGGUUUAGGACGAUGUGAGUUGUUCGAUGGUGGAGGACGAGGUGUUAUCUGGUGCUCAAUUUAUAGUGCUCCAGGUCCUGGCCCCUCCUGGGUGGAGAUAGAAUUUUAAAUCCGUGCAAUACUUUGAAUCUCGUAUCCUUACAAGUUGUGCCUCUGGUUUCCAUCGUCUCUACGAAAAUAGACAACAGUCCAUUCACCUUAAGGCUUAAGCACCUGAUUAUCUUUCGGUUUUCAGAUAAAGUCGUAGAGAUUUAAAGAGCGCCAGUCUGAAGACAUGGGACUCUACUUUAGAGAUCUGAAAACCACCAAACCUAUGCAUCCUCGUGACUUGCGAUAGUGUGUCUUUCAAAUUUAAAGCAGUGCUGCCGUUCAGAUUCAAACCCCCCUGAUGUAAUAGAUCGGGCAACGUGUUAAAAAAAACUUUGGUUGAUCAUGGCACUGGGUUUGGACUUGUGAGUCGACUAAAAUCAAAAUCAAGGGUUGUCACUGGUCAUUAACAAACAAAUCUUCAUAGACAUGAAAUGAGGAAAACGCAUGCCAACCACUAGUGACUUUUGGUUAAUCCAGCUGUGCACGAAGAGCUUUAGCGAGAUGUAUGCAGUGUGCAACCAGAUCGAAGCUGCGAGACAAGUUACUCUAAAGAAUUGUUGCUAAUCAUCAUUACAAAAAAGAAUUGUUGCUAAGCUAGGCUGACCAAGGUUGUGCUACCAGGGUGCACAGGACAGCUGGUUACAAAUCAUUCUCUAUGAUACUAGAUGCGUACACACAAAUUAAGUGAGGAAUAUGUGUGAUUGUAUAACGUGUGGCAACAAAAAUUAACUGGGCAAUAUGUGUGGUUUGCACGAGGAUACCUGGCCAUUGCCGUACCCAUGGUUCAAAAAAACGUCGCUUAAGCGAGCAAAAGUUUUAAUCAGUGGGAAAACGCCUCGUUUAGGCCCUAAGGGCCUUCACAGUGUGCCAAAAGCCAAACCGGCCAGGUAAGCAUCAUUUGGCAUCGGAGUUAAAUUUGGCUUUGUGCUCGAGUGUGAGAGAUGCCUAAUUGACUGACAAGAAGGACCCAUUAUAAAUUAAAUAUUAUUUCUUUCUUUCUUAUCUUUUCUUCCUCACGAAGUCACGAACGCAACAUCUUGAACGCCUCUGGCCUCUGCCCAGCCGUCCAGCGCCUCCGCCCAGACCACCUCACAGCGCCUCCGCUCAGCCUCUGGACCGCCGCCACCUCCACCCGGCGCUCCCGCCCGGCGAGCGCCACCGCCUCCACGCCCCGCCUACCCUCUGGGCCGCCGCCGCUUCCACCCGACGGCUCCGCCCCGCCCAGUCCUCUGGGCCCGCCGACGGCACACCUCGCGCAGAUUUGCCGCUGCUCUUCCCCAACCGCCGAUUAUUGUAUUGAUGAAAAUUAAUUUGGCAUCGGAUCACCUUCGUGCUCCGGUUCCCUCUUUCGGUAAUUUGGCAACACCUCUCCAGUGAUGUUUGCCGGUGCCAAAAGCUAUUUGGCACACACUGUGGAGGCCCUAAGCGCCUAAUUAAGCGGUGAUAAGGCCCAUUAGCAAAAUUCUCUUCUGCAGGGUGGCUUCUCUCUCUCCCGCCUGAUUCCCACCAAGGAUCCCUCCAAUUUCUUCAAUUCCCCUUCAUUUCCUCCGAGGACCCGCCAAUUUCUCCCGAGCGAACAACAAAAUCUCACCAAUUUCUCCAAUUCCCCUUGAUGUUUUCAAGGAUUCCGCCAAUUUCUCCAAUUCCUCUUGAUUUUCUUCAAGAAUCCCGCCAAUUUUUUCUAGGCGGGCAACAGAGUCCCUCCAAAUUCUCCAAUUCCUCUUGAUUUCCUCCAAGAAUCAUGCCAAUUUCUCAAAAACAGAGUCUGUACGAAACACUUAAACUUCAAUUCCUCUAAGCGGUGCCUCACUGCUCGCUUAACGCUUAGCGCUUUUUUGAACCAUGGCCGUACCAGGUCCGCCUUGGCAUGUUCUCAGAUGGUCAUAUAAUUAUUAGAGUAAUAUAAAGAUCUCUUUCCCCCAAAACAAAGAUCUGUUCAACUUAGUUGUCGCUUCAAUCAGAUGUACCUAGGAAAAUUCUCAAACAAAGAAACAACAGAUCUGUGGACGCACUACCUGGCAAUCCUUCGAUAUUCUUCUAUAAAUGGAGAAACAUGUUUUUUCUUUACAAUUUUGAAAGAAACGAUCGCCGAUAUGCAGCCAAAGUAUACAAGUUCAAGCCGGUCUGCAAGAUUAAGAGGCUAUAUUUUUACAAGUUUUAUACAAGAAACUGUCCCACCUCUGAACGCACUGGGUGGCGGGGAGCGAACUAGUUUUGUCAGUUUUAUCUCAGCUGGUAGAGUAUUCACAGUCGAGCAAGCGGGUAAGUAUUUCCUGGCAGCUCGGCCGAUCUUGGGGUUCUGCCCAGCAAUCUGCGGUAAGAGAAAUAAUUGUUGCUAAGAUGGAACUACAUGACAGCACAUAGCAGACGAACAUUGGCUCAACUGAGUCUAGUUUUGCUCCAUAGAAACCACACUUCAAAAUUAAAAGCCCCAUUACCUGCAAUUAACUUGCCAAGAGGUCCUUCAGGUAUUUCAAGCCGUGACCCUUCAUUAGCAACUGCGUAUACCACCUUGAAAAGGCAAGGUCAUCAAGGUCAGUCAACAAUUCCAAGCCAAAACAAUGCUUGCCCACUAACAUAUACAAUAACCAUAGAGAAAUAGGCAAGCACCAUGAAAGAUUAACAAUGGUAGAUGAGCUCAUAUGCUCAUUUAAGAGAAGAUUUCAGGAUGUUCAUGCAUGUUGUGGACAUUUUGAAGAAAGUGGACGAAUGCUUACUUGAACUGGGGAGAUCCCAUCCCAUGGGCGACUCAAUGUGCACAGCUCCCACAUUAUCACACCAAGGCUGAAAAUGUCACAUUUCUCUGAGAAGGGUUCAUUCCUUAUUAGCUCAGGGGCCAUCCAUUCUGGUGUGCCAGCAGAGGAGUUAUCCGUCAUAGGACUAUCUGUCAUCGCUCGAGAAAGACCGAAGUCACAUAUCUUGACAGUCCAAUGCUUAUUCACCAGGCAGUUAGCACUUUUCAGGUCUCUGUGAACUAUCUUCAUCCGGUGUAUGCACAUCAAUCCCCUUUACCAAAAUAAUUUCUUUCAGAUGAUCAAUUAAUGAUAAUAGGUCAGAGCUGGAACAAGAUUAAGCUCCAGAUGACAAGAGAAUUGCAUCAAAUGUAUUUUGUUACAAGUUCCAGGAUAUUAAAUAACAGCUAAUAGAUAGUAUAUAGUACUCCCUCCGAUCCUAAAUUGUUGUCGAAAUAUUACAUGUAUCUAGACACUUUUUAAGAAUAGAUACAUCAUAUUUGGGAAAUUUGAGUCAAGAAUUUAGGAUCAGAGGAAUAACAUUUAUUCUAUGCAGGGAAAGAGCCAACCUGCAUAUAUCACGAAUAAUCUUCAGUCUCCUACGCCAACUGAGCUUCUUUUUCUGACCACUCAUAUGGAUGAGAUAGUACAGUGAUCCCAUUUCCAUAUAUUCAGUAACCAUUGAUAGGUGUGGAGGUACCAUGCAUGCCCCAAGAAACAAUAUAACUACAGAAGAGAAUACAGAAGUUGAUAUCUAGCCAGGACAUGCUGAGAUUGUAGUUUCAGAUUAUAGUUUGCAUUUGUUAAAGUGAACUCUUACCAUUUGGAUGUCGCAGCCGGCUGAAAGGAAAUAGUAAAAUUAUUAAAGUAAUCACAAGGAUGAUGAAAAACAGAAGGUUAACCACAUUAUUGAAGCAGAGUAGUUAGGUACCUCAGGAUGUAUAUCUCAUUGCAAAAAUCUUCCAUGUUUUCAGUUGUCAGAUCCUGCUCUAGAAAUACUUUGAUGGCGACAUCAGUGCCAUUCCAUAUACCACGGAAAACCUCUCCAAAGAAUCCUGAUGAAGCAUUUCAACAAAAGGUGAGUUCUGUAAGCUUUUGUCAGGCUUAAAGAAAUUCUGAAGGACAACAAUGCAAAGUAAAACAGACCAUUUCAAGCUAGAGAAUUUCCAGUUGAGAUGAAAACAGAAGAUUGGAAAUAUGGUGACUAUUAAAUGGUCAAACAGGUUUCAAUGUGUAUCACCAUGCCGGUUAGCAUGCCUACUUUAUUGUUUCUAGCUAUCAGGGGUGAAUAGCCUCCAUUUAAUGCCCUCAAUAAAGAUGGCAAGACUACUCUACUGUUCAACUUUAAUGCUCUAAUGAAUUUUGAGUAAAACAGUAAUAGAAUUAUAUGAUAGCUUCAAUAAAGUCAAAAUAUAAAGAAGGGUAUAACAGUAUCAAGACAUAGCGUGUAAUACUUGGGAGACACUGGAUUCGAUUGAUUUGAUAAUCUUAAGCACUUAACGAUAGCUAAGGAGUAGAUAACAAAAAAAAAUUCAAGGCACAAUUAUAGGGACUUGACAAUUAUACCCGAUUUUCAAACUCCGUUGAUUGGAAUGCAUAUUGGAAAGAGAUCACAUCAUAGUAAAAGCAGCAAAUGCAUAUCAUUGCAAAUUAUAGAAGCACAGUACAAGAAUGGGAGAGGUCCACUUCAAAGAAAAUGGAUCAGCAAGUCUACAAUACUCCCUCUGAUCCAUAAUAAAUGUCUCAGACUUUGUACAGCUUUGUACUAAUUUUGUACUAAAUCUGAGACACUUAUUAUGGAUCGGAGAGAGUAGUAAAUUUAUCUGAGGAAGUUUGAGAUGACUUGCCUAUUCCAACCCGCGUACCAAUUGUCAGCUCAGAGAAAUCUAUGUUCCACUCUUGAAAAGGCAAUAAAGGUUUAUUAAAUGGGGAGCUUUGCAAAACCUUGUUCCAUGCGAAUACCAUCUUUUCUUUGCUUAUAAAAUCACAAUUAUCACUUGUUUCAGAAAUUCCACCCUCAUAGUCAUGAGGAGAAGUAGGCAAUGACAUAGCUUUCUGAGUAGAACAGGUUCGGUUUCUCAAGCCAUUAUUGGUAGCAACAUCUCGACCAGAUUUAUCAUCCUAAGGAAGAAAAUGAAAUUAUAAGCCCAAGCUGAUGACGUUCAAAUGACACUUACAUGCCACAAGAGAAAAAAGCCAACAUAAAACAAUGAAACAAGAAUGUACUUUGUUUGGGCAGUCAUGUGCAUUGCUUGUGUCCUCACUAAUAUAUGAGCAUGAACCAUCAUUAACAUGAUCCCUUUGGAGGCGAUUCUGCUUUAAUGUUUCAUUCAUAGCCCGAACUGCCCUGUCAGGAUUUAAGAUUUGAACAAUAAAUAUUUGAUGCUCACUGAGGAUAACUGACAGAACACAUACGCAUACUCUAGUAUACUCCCUCCGUUCCUUAAAUUGUGGCCUAUAUUGUUUCCUUUGACCAAGCCUUUGACCAAAAAAUAGUCUAUUAAUAUAUACUUUUUGUGAAAUAAAAUUUAUACUCCUUCCGAUCCAUAUUAAUUGUCUCAAAUUUGCAUAAAUAUGGAUGUAUCUAUGCCUAAAAUGUCUCUAGAUACAUGUAAUAUUUCGACAAUUAAUUAGGAUCAGAGGGAGUAACAUUGUAUUCGUAUUCAAAAGUACUGUUUAUAGUUAUGAUUUGUAUCACACAAGUCACACGUCGAUAGAGUAAUCAUUGGUCAAAGGCUCGGUUCAAGAAAACAUAUAUACGCCCUAAUUUAAGGAACGGAGGGAGUAUCUAGCAUCUAAACACAGCCAUGACCAAAAUGUGCACUGACUCUUGAAUCUUGAGUCAGUGAAGGCAACGGGUACACCUACACAACUUCUGAUACAGUUAUGCAACUUGCCUUAUAGUUCAAAAUAGGAAUUACCUCACGAUAUCAUCUCCAAUCUCCGGUGUGAUGCUAAUGCUUCUUCUUCUAAUUCUUCGAGGGGUAGGUAUAGUAGUGCCACCUGGAUCAUCUGAUCUGCAAGCUUGUAAUGCUUUAUUAAAAAAUGGAGUUGCUAUUCAGACAAUUUUUUACUUUUUUUAAGAAACUUCUCAAAAGGAAAGGAAAACCGACAAAAUAUGAGUUCUUGGUCCUUGCAAAGCUAGAGAAUGCAGAUUAAUUUGGUUUCCCAAAAAUCAAUUUACAUCACAGAAAACCAGAACCAUGAUGUAUUGGUGGAGAUCAAAAUUAUAUCAAAACCUUCUUUCAAGCUAGUUUUCAUUAUGAGAAGCACACAAAAAUAGGUAUAUUUCAAUGACAAUUGCGUGCAACACUUGCAUUCACUUCCGCUUUUUCUUCUUCUUUUAGAGAACUUACAUCACUUCCUACAUAUAUAUCGAACCAUAUGGUUGCCACUGCUAGUGCCUGCUAGCAGCGAAUAAGAGAGGAAAACCCCCAAAACACAACAGAGUAAAGAAGCCAGCAAUAGUAAUUUAUGACAGUAGGCAGUCAAGCUGACCAGUUGAAACAAAGUGUUGAAUCAAUGCACUAUGGAGAUUAGUUUUGACGGCAAACACAUUAAAAAAAUGUAACACUGCACCCACAAAAGAAUAGCUGGCAAACCUUGAUGUAACUCCAUCAGUGUAUUCUUGAAAUGAUUGCCUCUCACCACUAAGUAUAGAUCUUCCCUUUGCCCUCAUUAAUGGAUGCUCAGGACUACACCAGGGAAAAAUUUGAUAGAAGUAUCCCGUAAGAACACAGAUACAUUGUGAAACUGGUAGGUGGGCACAAAGAAACAAUAGAAAUAUGCUUGUGGAAUUGUGGUUCCCAUCAUGUAAGAGAAUACAGAAUACUCACUACUAAGUACAUUUGGUAACACAGGAAGGCAUACCGCAUAUAAACUGUAAACGUGUAAAAUUGUGAAGUAACAUGGAAAUAGUAGUGGUAAGUUUUGAUAUACAAACUAGUGAUGAUUUUUGGAAAGUAUGUAUGAGUACAUUUUGCAAAUCAAACAAACCAGCAUGUCGAUCCUCCACAUGUAAUCCCCCAAAUCUAUAAACAAGACACAGCACCUAAAACCGAUGUGCUCAACCAUCGGUGAAAAUACCACAGUAGUUUUCUUCAAUAAGGUUACAGGGAAAGAACAACAACACGAGAGAUUAUAGAACAUUACUAAAGGUAGAGUUUGAAUGCAAACCUUGAACUAGCACAACGAGGUUCUUCAGCAACUCCUUUCCUCUGGCUUCGCCUCCAAAAUGCAUUUGCGAUAUUGGGCUCACUACAUGAUGUGCUGGUUUAAACAACCAACAAUUUCUCAGAAAAUGCAAUGAAAAAGGCAGUCAAAACUAUCAACACAGGUAACAGAUCAUUGUAUACAUUCUGACAAAACAAACAAGAGAUAUACUUCGGACCCCACCCCCCACCCCUUUUUUUUUUGAAUUGUUUACAAGUUUCAACGCAGAUCAAUGGUGGGAGUUAGAACAAGUGAACAACUGAAGUUAUGAAGGGUAAUAUGAUUAAUUCCAGGUUUACAUUACCACUCCCCUCCCCAUUUCUCUCUCCCUAGUCCCUACACCUCAGAAAUUCCCCACCUGAUCCCACCCCUCAGCCUAGGAAUCCUUCGGACUCUGACUCCAGACUCAUACCAGCCACACUGAUCUACUUCCUACUGCCGGACGUGAUCCAUAAAGUGCAAGAUCUUGCACCUCCUGCUGCGAGGCACGGAUCUGGCACCAAGUCUCGUGCCUCUUCUACAAGACACUCGAUGUGGUAAGUGCUGGCCCAAGCCAAGAUGGCAUUGCAGCGAUAAGAUGCAUGUCGUGAUGACCCUAGAGUAUGAUGUAAACAUAUUUUUUUUCAUCAAACACGCCUGCUAGUGCAUCAUUUUCACCAACAAAUCACUAACGACCAAAAUUUACAAUGAUGUAACAUUGGCUUGGAACAUUAACUUGCUUUCUAAUUCUGCAUGCAGGCAUAGAAACAUUCACUGCAUGCAUGUACAUAGAUUUAUGCAUAAUGUAGCGCUCAUGUUGCAAUAAAAACGAUUAUUAUCCUUGUAGUGAUACUGAUAUAAUCAGUAAAAAGUACCAAACUGCCCUUUGUAAGUGACGAGAUACAUAAACUAUCUUCCAUAAGUGGUGUACUGAAGUAAUUAACAGUAAAUAAUGUUAUAUCAUGAGGUGGUACCUUAAUUUCCCCUCUGAAAACGUUCUUGAUCUCAACAUCGUAUUACGCAAUGAACGUCCAGAUAGAUUUGAUGAAGCUUCAAUUCUGCACUGAGAUAGAGAAGGAAUGUUUUUAUCUUGCUAAAGAUAUGCACUCUAGAAUGUUAAAAAAAAGUAAAUAUAAGGAUUGCAAGCAACAAACAAAAGAAAUGACCAAUACAACUGACAGAUGGUUUCUUUCAUAUAUGAUAUAUCCGAGCAUGUCAACUUCUCUAUGUUAUUACAACUAUUUUACAAGAUCUCUCUGCCUUUCGAAUGGAACAUUUACCACAACAGCUAUAUGAUAAAAGUUGCCCAUGAUCGGCUUUCUUCUGUAUAAUUUCUGUAUUUGGUUGAUGUUAUCAGUUAUAAACUUCCCAUCUAAUUGUUCUCGGAUGCUCUAUAUUUCCUCUUCAUGCCAAUAACCUAUCUCAGCUUCUAUUGCUGCCAGUGUGAAGAUUCACUUCUGUCUGUAUCUAUCAUGCAACCCAUGAUGUUCCAAUCACCAUCUGUCUUACAAAAUAUCAUUUGGUUUCAACAAAUCCUACGAUGGAAUAAUUAUCAAUAUUACACUUCUAUUGCAUGGUUAUGUUUGAAAAUCCCUCAUAGGCUCCUAGCCUACCCAACAACACAAGCUAUGACGGUUGUUACGCUUAACUAUAUUAAUUUUUUUGUCUUUAACCAUAUGAUCCUAGUAUCCAUACAAAGGUUCAAGAUAGAAUGUCAUCCGAUGUUCCCAUUACCAUCUGUCUUACCAAAUACUACUCCUAAUUGGUUUCAACAAAUCCUAUGCUGGAAUAAUUAUAAUGUUACACUUCUAGCAUGAUUAUGUUUCAAAAUCCCUCAUAGGCUCCUAGCCUAUCCAACAACACAAGCUAUGACGGUUGUUACCCUUCACUAUAUUGAUUUUUUUUUCUUUAACCAUAUGAUCCUAGUGACCUAGUAUCUAUUCAAAGGUUUAAGAUAGAAUUUCAUCCGUUAAAACGUGUGAACCACUCAAUAUUAGUAAGAGCCAUCAGUGACAAAACAAUAUUUUCUCCAGGGAGGGAACUAUUAAUUAUCUAUCAUGAUACUCAUUGAGAUACUGGAAAAAAAAUAACAAAGGCCUGAGUCACACAGCUAAGAGGAGAAAUUUUAUGCAUAAACAUACCCUUCAGCUUCAACUUUAUCAGAUAAUCCAUACAGAGGGCUAUUGGGCUCAAGGGGGGAAUCACAUGAGUCAUUUUCAGCUGAAUCACUCUCACCCGCAGCAGAGAUAUGCGAAGUAAAGAUAGCCUUGGCUGAAAAAGGAAUCAACUGGCCUGGAAAUCGCAUAAGAUCAACCAGCAGCUCCAUAGAAUUCAGAGGAACUACCACAGACAUAUGUUUGUACGAAUCGACAAAUCCAUCUGCACCGUCAUCAGGUAGACCCUAUGAAAGACAUGGUUUAAAGUAUUUGAAGUUAUUUUUAUCAUAUAUUUAACGUGAAGAGAAUAUUAUAAAAGAUGUACAAAGAAACACCUGAAAUAAACAAAAGAACAAGAAAGGGUGUCAACAUACCACCACAAGUUUACUCUCAAGGCCAACAGCAUCUGCAAGAACUUUAAAUAGGAUAGCUCGGGGUCGGCAUGAUCCAUGCCUUAUCUGUCCAAGAAGUUGUGGUCCUUUAUUUCCAAAGAAAUGAGUAUCUUCGGUUGCAGCUCUUCCUGGACUAACAUCAGGGUUUUGACCCUUGAAGCAGUCAAAAACCUGUUUGGGAUUAACUUGCUAAAUGUUAAAUAUGCAUAAACCGAUAAGCUAAUACUUUAAAACUCAACCUUGAUGUGAUUGAUGCAAGGGCUAACUUAAACUGUACCUCUAUGCAAUUGUUUUUAACACAGAUUAGUUUUACAAAUCCAUUAAGCAUCAACAGUACCCAAGAAUCAUGCAAUAAUAAUGACCAAGCAAUGACUAUGAUGUUUAGCUCCAAUGAGGAAUUGAACAUGCGAAAAAUACAUAGUUGUAUCCAGUUUGUGAAACUUACCAAACCUGCUAUCUUCUUUAUCACUAAAGCUGGACUAGAGUUCAAUCCUUUCACAAGCGCAGCACUAAGCUGCUUUAACAUGAAAAUCUUCUUAUCCUUCUCAGCGUCUACAACAAUUAUGUCAGUCCUAAGCCCAUCUGCUUCGAGAGUUUGAAGCUCAUUCAGUGAUGGUAUUGUUGGGAAACACUCCUUCAGCUUUUUAUCCUGUAUGAAUUGCAUUACAGGUGGAAAACAUAACCACAGAGAAAUAAAACAAAAGCAAAACUUUCUCUAAAUUAUCCAAGACUUAAUAAUGUGGCUAAAAGAAAAACAUCGUUGCUAAAUCAGAAUUCCAAAUUAUAGCACUUUUCCAGUGAUCACUAAUUUGUUAGACCUAGGAAUCUGACUCCUCACACAACAAAUACAUUUGGAAGGUUGACAUGUUUCAUGUACCAUGAAACUGUGGCGCUUCAUAACCUAGUGAGGCUUUAAUAAUUAAGCAUCUUCUUCAGAAAGUCCUUGACAUGUACCACCACUGUUCCUAAAAUCUAGCUUUUUCCUACAUCAAACCUUUUAAAGUUUGACCAAGUUUAUAGAAAGAUGUACUAAAGUACUAAACCAUAUCAAAUAAGCAUACUACGAAGAUAUAUAUCAUGACGGAUUUAAUAAAACUAAUCUAGUGUUGUAAAUCAUCUAAAAAACUAGAGUUAAAGAUGUUAGAAGUUCUACCAAGGACAAAGGUAGAACAUCUUCUAUUUAGGAGCAGAGUGAGUAUUUGGGAAAAUCUAACUCAAAAGCCGCAUGACAUGCACAAAUAAUCUACUGUCGUUAUUUUACAGGAAGUCAGGAAUAUGUCUGCAAAGAACAAACAACGGUUACUGAGAGGGAGACCUCACCGGAAUGAUUGAAUAGAAACCAUUGGGUAUAAACCCUGAAUAAGUUCCUGUUGACCACAGUAAUUGAGAAGCCUUCCAGGACGAGGACCUUGAAUUAGCCAAAAUGAUUCGGGAUUCUUUAUCAACCAAAACUUCUUGUUUUCUUGAUAUGGCAACAGAUUCUAUCUUGUCCAAGAGGUCUGGCGGCCACCAACUAGGUUCACAUGAAGUAGCUUCAGAUUGCCCAGAACUAGUUGGUGCUUCAUCCAUUGCUCGGACGGUGUAGUCCCUCAUUUGAAUCCCAUGCGCACCAUCUUUUGCAUGCUAACAUAAGCUAUACGACAAAACUUUGUAUUCAGUAUGACCACUAAUCAAUAUGGUUGAUAUCUGCAAGAAGUUAAAACUUAAUAUAAAUCUCAAGAAAAUCAGAAACCACUCAGACAAAACUCUUGAAGGAGGCUUAUGCAGAGCUUUUCUUAUAUCUAAUUAUUUGUACAGGAAUUCUUCAUCCCAUCUACAAUGCCACCAAACUGGUUGGCAGCUCUGCAAGAAAAACCAAAUACUUAAAAAAAUACUUUCAGUGAUAAGCAACUCAGGUUUGCUUACUCCAAACCCAUCUAUACACCCAUCUGUACACUUGGUCCAAUAGAAAAGCUAAUUGUGCAGAGGGAAUUGUCUUUUUAGCACAAAAAAAAUGCACGAUAGAUUAACAGACGUUUUGAAGUACAGCAAUAUCUGCAGAACUUCAGAAGGAAAAGCAAAGUACUUGUUAAUCAACAAAACCACUUGAUAGUAACAUCCAACUGAAAAGAGUGAGGACAUGUGAACUGCGUGAGGCUUUGGCCUUGCCCAAGACAAAGGGCAACCUUCAUCAUUAGUAAAGCUCAGUCCGCGGUGUACAAUUAAGGACUGGCAACUAAAUAGAACUCAAUCAAAUAUCAUCAGCUGAUGUGCAUCCUGAUGGAAAUUAGCUUCCAGAAAAGAAUCCAACCCGAAAUGUCAUCACGUGAAAGUUUGCCAUGUCUCGUCACAAAAUUCCAAGGUAACCUGCAAGCCUGUUGCAGCAACAGCUGCAAUUCUAGUUACUCACAUUUUAUCCAACUAAACGUUAUGAGCAACACACGCUGUUCAUGUUACCAGCAAAAAAUUGUCGUGAAUUAUUCUAGCACGUCAAUAACAGGAUCCUCCCCCAGUACAGAAUGCAUCGCUGCAUACACUUUACGUUUCUAGAUCCAGGCUCUUAUUUACCUGAACUUGGGAACUCACAGUAAACCUCCAGUAAAACAGGGAAAAAGUUAAGCAGAUCACUCACACCAACGUACAGUAACCAUAGUACUGUCCACAAUUGCAUAAACUACCAUGCAAUGGCUUAGAACUAUAGCUCACGCCUUAGCUCCCGCAGCUAUUUAUGGCCAAAAUGGGAACAACAAGGGGCGUCUGCACCUCGAGUUCAAUUCUACGGGGUCACAGGACAACAACACCGUUAAGAUCUCGCGCGCGCUGAACAAACAAGAAACGAAUCAUACGAAUGGACGGUGUACACUAGUGGACUAAUGGAGUACUAGCAAACGAAUCCGCAGCUGCAGUGAGUAUUCCAGUACGGACGCAUUUACCCUAAACGGACAGAACAUGCCAGAUAUAUUCGGAUUCGAUUUCUCACAGCGCAGACCCGAACAAAGAGGCUAGAUCAGAGCGAAACGAAUCCCAGAGAAGUGAGCGCCGGCUUACCAACAGGAGAAGAUAAAGUCAAGGUGGAUCUCCUCCCCGCUCCACGCCAAUCCAGCAGAGGGCAGUGCCGAAGGAGGAGAACGCGGCGGCGGAGAGUCCGAGGUUGGGCUGCUUCGCUUCGGUGGAACUGGAAGGAGGAGCGGCGCGUCCAGCGGCUUCGGGAUUUGGGAGCGGCAGCGCGACGCGGGCUCGAUUGCACGGUGGAUUUAGAGAGGCGGUAGGUGGGCUGGUACGGUAGGUGGGCAGCGAGCCAGCGAUCGAGCAGCCUGCGCGCGGCGCGGCGCGGUGGAGCGGACGGAAGAGGAAGAGGAGGAAGUAACUGGGAGCUGAGACUUCAAACCCGGUAGCCGGGAGGGACGACGAGAGACGAGAGCGGAGGACGCGGGUGAGAAGAUUAAAAAGUACGGCGGCUCCAGCUGUGGAGGGGAGGCGUCGCGUCGGCCCGCACUGCCUUUGCCUGGCUUUGUGCGGGGAAUGGCAGAGCAGCCAGGAGCCCAGGGGGGUUGACGGUGGCUUUGUAGGCACACUUUGUUCCUGUGUUGUGUGAUGUGUGUAUAUGGUUUUUAUUGCAAGUAAACUGCAUUUACUGCGAGAUUUUCAUUUAUAACAUGGUUAAUGUUGAACCAUUUACUCGUGUGCUGUAUUAUUAUUAUUAUUUGAAGGAGAAUUGGAGCUACUAAUUUUAUCUUAUACACCCUCCGUCCAAUAUUAAGUGACGAAAUAUUACAUUAUCUAGACUUUUUUGUGUAUAAUACAUUCAUAUUUGAGCAAAUUUGAGUCACUUAAUAUGGGACGGAGGGAACACUCUAUUUGUUCCUACAAAAUAUGGCGUGUUUUGUUUUCUUUGACCGGGCCUUUGAUCAAAAUUAGUCUAUUAAUAUAUAUAUACUUUUUGGGAAAUAAAAUUGAUAUCAUAUUCGUAUUCAAAAGUACUUGUUAUGGUUUUUGAUUUAUAUCACAUAAGUCACACGUUGAUGGAGUAAUCUCUUUUUUUUGCGGGUAUUGAUGGAGUAAUCUUUAGUCAAAGGGUGGAAACAAAAUGUGCCAUAUUUUAAGGAACGGAUGGAGUAUCUUUUUUAAUUUGAUCUCACUUAUGUUGUGUGCGAAAAAUCUCACUUGAUUUUGAAAUCUUAUCUUCAUGGCAUUAUGAGGAUGAGGAUUAUGUAUUGUUAUUGUUAUUUCAUUAAAUACCAUUUAUACAGUUAUCAAGAAGAUUAUGUUUCACAUUGAUUAUAAAAGUUUAAAGACAUUAAAUAUAUACAUACAAAUCGAUUUCUUGUUUAUCUCCUAUUAAUUUGAUGGAGUAUCACAACCAAUAUUGGGUCACGGAUACCUUGCAUGUUUAUGCGAAUUGAUAUUUGUUGAUUUCAUAUUCAUGCACUGCUUUCUUCCGUUGUCGUGUCUUCUGACCUCACACCGUUGUAUUUUUUUUCUUUUUUCUAGAAUACACCGAAGCAAGCUUGUGCCAACUGCCAAGACAUGUUAAAGAUAGUAACCGAAUUUUGCAUCGAACAUUGGAUAUCCUGACAUAGAUACGAAUUGAUGGUUUCUAUCUCAUAUCAGAUAAUACACUAGCUAAAUGUGUGUGUUGAUACGGAAUCAAAGAUGUACUAUAUGUACAUAGAUGUGAUUUUUAAACUACUUAUGUGCUCGUAAUUUUCAUUUUAUGAUAUGAUAAGAUUUUUCUCAAAUAUUUUUUUUGAGAUAAUAAUUACUCAAAAAUAUACGUCAAACCAAUCAACUAUGAUAAAGAAAUCACAUAACAUACAAGUACCACAUUGAAUGGGUGGCAUGCUUGCAAUCUAUCGUGUGGCAGGACUUACCUUGUAUGCGGUUGGUUCUCAUGACCCUACUUCAUACCACUUUCACUUUUUAUUUUAUUGAAACUGAAAAUAGAAAAGCAUAAGAGCCUCGAGAGAUGAAAGAUUAGAGAAUUAUUAGGACGUUGUUGACCGUUCUUAACCUAAGAAGAACAUACGGAACUGGUAGAUUUCCUAGCGUGUUUGGUGUUGAUCGUUACCUUCUGUGUGAAUCCGGUGUAUCCAUAAUGUGUUUGAGGCUUUUCUCGGAGAAGAAAUUAAACAAUGACGGUAUCUCAGCAUGGGCUAACUCUAUGCCAGCCGACACAGUAAGACACGUGAUAAUGCAUAGCCCCUGCUUUAGGGAGGGCUAAACGGGGAGACCCGAGAACAGAUAGGCAUGUCUCAUCUUUUCCUCGAUUGGUUGCGUUUAGGAUCCUCGCGCUCAAGAUAGUAAUAUCGAUCGUGAUGGCCAUUUGCCUACGUGGCUAGGUAGCUCUUGUCCUGAUUUCAUGGCAAGGGGUUUGACCCAAAUGCAUGCAUGCAUGGCGAGGCCAACUCUGUGAAGCAGAAAACUGAUCGCCGUACGGCCGUACCACGCAUGGGUGCUGAGUGAAUUCAUCGUUGCACAUGCUGAUCGAUCUCCCUUUUGUUGUCGUUGGGGCCAGCGAGGCAUACGGCUCACUACUUAUCCAUUUAAUUACUUCACGGGCCUUUGACCUGAUCGAUCCCAAAAUAUCUCAACAACACGGGGCAUCUCACGUUCCGGCCCCCAACAUUCACGGCCGGAUCAAUAGUCGAGAUAAUCAAUGGACAGGACUCAGGAGGAGUCGGAGAAGCCACCAGUGGCGUACGUUGGUCCAAAAACUGGAGAGCCGGUGUCGUGUCGAGCUCCGUGUCGCCCGUUGCGCACGAACCACAGGUCCGGCAGGGAAGGCCCCCUUUGACGUGCGCGCGGCCGUGGUGGGCGCCGGCGGGCGCGUAGUUGUCAACUUUGAGGCGGUGCACACGCGCGGAUGGAACAGAAAGCAGCGCACGGGCCCGCGCUUUCAUGUUGCGCUUGCGCUUGCGCGCCGAGGCCUUGAGAUGCCGAGCUUUACAUUAUUGGAUCACGGCUCUCCGUCACUCUCUUUUGGUUCGGAUUUCCUUUUCCCACCUCAUCACGUGCGGCGGACGCGGGGCGGAGGCAGGUGGCGCCUGGCGAUCGCCGGGGCCGGAGCGGAAGCGGAUCGGUUGCUGUUCAAUCAUAGGAAACGGGGGUAAACUGUCGGUGUGGUCGCUCGAGGACUGAGGUGUAAAGGGGCACGGGUGGGCUGCUUGGGGCUGAUGGGUCUCGGUCAUUCGGUGCGGAUCCAGGUCACGUGUGGCCGUGUGGGUAACCUUCCCUUUAGGCGAGGGAACGUGGAGAUGGGGACGCUGUCCAGCGGAUUGUGCUCUGAUUCGCGAGGCUACCUCGAAAGAUUGGAAUAUUUCCGGUCGGGGCCCAAACAAAGCAUCAUCCUAAACUCGAGACCGAAAGAGCGACCAAUCUAAACUUAAGCUGCAGCUUACUCCUGAAAGAAAAACUCCAGCUGCAACUUGCAAGUUCCUCUGUAUUGUGCAUAUAAAAAAAAUUCUUUCACAUGAAAACAAUUCGUAGUGCAAUUCCAGUGUUAUUAGUACUCCUCUGACUCUAAAUUCUUGAACUCAAAUUUGUCAAAAUAUGGAUAUAUCUAUUUUUUUAAAACGUCUAGAUACAUAUAAUAUUUCGACAACAAUUUAGAAUCGGAGAAAGUACAUGGUAUUAUUGUACAAUAAUACGUAGUGAACAGGAAUACAACAUAGCACGAGUAUUCCUCUGUAGUACAUACAUAGUCUGAGUGAUCGCGGAAUCACGCGGAAAAAGACCACGCAUUUAAACAUGGCCCAUGAAAUAAAUACAAAAGCUUUCUCUAAAUCAAAGGCGAUCGCAGUAUAUACACUGUACAUAUGGCAUCUCGCACCGCGGCAUUUUGUGCAAUCAUAAGACGGCAUAUGCAUAGGCCCCUCGUGGCUCCUCAUGAAGAAACACCGUGUUUAAGCUGGCAUUCAUUCCGUUUAGUCAGUCACUGUAGCUAGUAGUGCUCAUAUUUGGUUGUCUUGUCACGUGUGAAAUCUUCAAAAUAAUUCCGUCGGUACGCUCAUAUGGAGUAUCCUCCAAAAUUAUAUACGGUACGUGAAUUUCCGUUUGAUCAGGACACGUAGCAAAAAAAAAAUACUUGAUAGGACGCUAGUGAGUAGUGACACGUACUAGUAGUCUUUGGUUGUCAUGUCACAUGACACGUAACUUGUCAAACAAAAAUAUUACGGCUGGUUUGGCACCCGUCAUUUUGGUAUAGAAUUUUUGAAUUCAUUUUGAAAUAAAAAAACAACUUGUCUGGUUGGCACGGAAUUAGCCACAAGAAUUCAAUCUCAAAUUUCAUGGAAUCACACUAUAACUAGCCUCAAUUCCUCUCUAAAAGUCAUCAUUUAUGUAGAAUUGUCUCGCUCUUCAAUUCCAUGUGGUAGACAAACAUGAUUUUUCAAUCCGGAAUUCAAAUUCAACCAAAUGAAAUGCUAUCAAAAAUUGAAUUUCAUUUCGUUUUGAUCAAAGGAAAUGAAUUCUUGGUUGCCAAACGAGCUGUUAUAUAAAAAAGAUCCCUAUAGAACAUAGGUGAACCGGCUGAUCAGCUGAUGGAUCGUGUAUUACAUACUCCCUCCGUCUGAUAUUAAGUGACUCAAAUUUGCUCAAAUAUGAAUGUAUCUAUUUCUAAAAAAACGUCUAGAUACAUGUAAUGUAAUAGAAAGUCAUACGAGACGUAUCGUGCGGUACAUGCAUGGGCAUAUGAUGUGUGGCCUCUCCCGCUGCAACUCCCCAUUGGCGCAUCCAUCGCGUCGCCGGUCGCUCCAUGCAUCUCCAUCCACGGGCCAAGCAGUUGAAUGAUCGAAAACCGAGUUACUGUAUUCAUCGACCAUGUGUGCUUAUAUACAUGAGAGUUUACAGCAGUUUGUUACAACAGAAUCCUAUACAGGAGAGGCUACGUGCGGGAUAAGGACGCAUGCAUGCGUACUGGCCGCGGUGAUCGCGCUCUGGGUGUGGCCAGGUGCGCCACGAUUUGGCUGCCGGUAGAAUCAGGAGGAAUCCAUUGAGGGGCGACGCCUGUAGUUUGCCAACACAAGCCUGCCGGUAGACUCAGGAGGAAUCCGUUGAGUUGCAGGUGCGGCUUGCUCGGAUCGUGCAUGAACAGGCAAGCCUGCUGUACAUCAUGGGAGAUGUCGGGGCGCAUGAGAGUGAGGUACUGGAGGGCACCUGCGAGGCUGCGGUAGUCAGAGGGAUUUUUGACAGGAGAUCCCUCGGAAGCGGACAGCUUGGCCUCGGCGUCGAUGGGCGUGGAGAUGGGUUUGCUGUUCAGCAUGCCAGCGCGCGAUCUAGGAUCUCCAGAGCAUAUUGCUCUUGGGAGAGGAAUAAGCCAUGGGGGGAACGCUGAACAUUGAUGCCGAGGAAGUGGUGUAGAGGACCAAGAUCGGUCAUGGCGAACUCCUGGUGGAGAUUACGGAUGAUCUGGUGGAGCAGCACGGUAGAGCUGGCGGUGAGGAUAAUGUCAUCGACGUAGAGGAAGAGGUAUGCGAUGUGGGCGCCUCGUCGCAGAAUAAAGAGCGAGCUGUCACACUUAGAGGAAACGAAUCCCAUCGUGAGUAGAUGAGAAGUAAAACGGGUGAACCAAGCCCGCGGAGCCUGUUUCAGCCCAUAUAAGGACUGAUGGAGGUGGCAGACAUGGUUGGGAUAGUUGGUGUCGAUGAAGCCCGACGGCUGCUGCCCGUAAACGAUCUCGUCCAAGUGCCCGUGGAGGAAGACGUUCUUCACGUCGAGCUGGUUGAUCGGCCAAUUGUUUUGAACGAUGAUGGAGAGAACAAGCCGAACAGCCGCCGGUUUGACGACGGGACUGAACGUCUUGCCGUAGUCGGCUGGGAAUGGUGGUCUCACCGAGGCCGGUGUGUGUCAGCGGCCGGCGCCAUCGCCGGAGAAAAGGGGUUGAGAAACGGCGUAGUAGCCGCUCCUUGAGCAGUGAGAGAGGUUUUGAGAGACCUCAGUGUCGCCCAUUGCGGAAGCAGGUAGAGGAGCUCGUGGCUCUGAUACCAAGUCGAAUGAUCGAAAACUGAGUUACUGUAUUCAUCGAUCAUGUAUGUUUAUAUACACGAGAGUUUACAGCAGUUUGUUACAACAGAAUCAUAUACAGGAGAGGCUACGUGCGGGAAAAGGACGCAUGCAUGGGUGCUGCCCGCGGUGAUUUCGCUCUGGGCGUAGCCAGGUGCGUCACGAUCUGGCUGCCGGUAGACUCGAGAGGAAUCCAUUGAGGGACGGGGGCGACGCCUGUAGUUUGCCAACACAAGCCAGCCAGGGGCAAAGGGAACCAACACUGAACCGAACCGGCACCCCUGCCACAAACCUGGCAUCAAUGGUCACGUACGGAGGACGUUGUCCGGAUCACGAUGCAUCUUCUCCUUUGUUGCCGCGCGACAAACGCUAGUCCCUAGCUGUCCUCCGGCUAAGCUAGCUCGCGAUGCAUGCGCGGAGGCUACGAGAAUAAUCGGACGUCCCGCACGGCCCCCGAACGCGCUUUUGCUUCCUGGUCGCAAGGCACGAACGCAUGAACCGGGCAGGGGGCUUGAUUAUUUUGAUCUUGCUGUUUUGGGACCAAACUAAAGGUAAGCGCCGGCCGGCCGGAACACCUUGCGUGCAGUACUACCUGACAGACAGUGUUGGUGUUCCGUAAUUGCUCGGUUGCUAGCCGCGACGCCGGCCUGACAGCUUUGCUACUAGCGCUGAUCCACAGCCGGCCCACGCACUGUUCGGGGUCUUGGGAGCUUGUCUCGUUUGCGUGUCGGGGCGGUCGAUGGACAAACGUUGUUGGGCGAGAUUUCAGAUCUCGAUCACAACUGGUAGGACUAGUCCAGCUAGCAAGCAAAAGGUGGCUGUGGGUGUUGCUGGCAGAAUUGGAUCGAUUGAUGGAUGUCGUUUGGAUCCAUCAGUUUGGUCUCCUUUUUUAGAACGCGUGCCGCGUGCGUGCGCGGGAGAUUUUUUUUUUUGAGGGGAAUUUUUAUUUUUAUUUUUCCCGAGAUGUGCGUGGGAGAUGUUGGCCAUGCUUAUUGGGCUCUUCAUCGCCUGGCACUAUGGGGCCUAUAGCCCCAGCCCAGUAACCCACCAUUGCCUGGCACACUUACGGAAAAGAUUUGUGUAAACAGCGAUAUGUGUAUUGGCUGGUCGUAAUCGAUCCUGCUUCACACAUAGUUUAAGCUCUCGUGAAUUGAGUCACUUUGAUGUGUGAUCAUGCACCAAAACGGACCCUGCAGCGUAAGUUAAGCAAGCUGUAAAAAAAUACCCGCCAAAGAAAUUACUGGUAGUCAAUGCGAUCCACGAGCCGUGCCGACCCAUGCGCAUGCAGUGACGCAACAGCGCAAGGCCAGGUACCUUGCACAUCGACCCGGUCGCAACUUACAUCACGUCCCUAGUUCACAGAUCCCCAGAUGACGCCCACACGACCGAAGAGCUCGAUCCAUGUUUUGGCCAUUCCUUAGAUUUAGCCGGUGCUGAUGCACGAUCAUUCGUGGAACGAGCGACGUCGUCUCCAAUUCAUUCGAUCUGUCGACGGCGCGAAGAGAGAAUCGGGAAAUCCGUGUAACCGUCAUCGCCAGUCCCGUAGCUAGUUUUUUUUUAAGGCCAGUCCCGUAGCUAGCUAGCUAGCCAGGAAUCGUUGAUCUUUCGGGUCGGGCGGCCAGCAGCAUGGGUGGACGACAUGGAUGCAUGGGUCGGGUCGGGUCGGGGGACUUGGGACCGUCCAAGUCGCCGGGUCGGACUCUUGACCCAGCAUAUUUGACCACUACGAACCCAGCUCGAUUGAUCGUUGCGGUGACCUCUCGGCCAAGGCAGGCAGGCAGGCACUGACCCGAUCCAUCCGCGCUCCGGCAGUUCUGCCCCUUUCCCAAGUCUCCCAGGCUCCCAGCGCGUACAAAAGGCCUCCACAGCUCCUCCAGCCAGUCCCAGCUCACCGGUGCACCACUACGUACCGCGGUGCAGGCCUGCAAUCAAAUUAAAACACAGGAGCUGUAGAUCGAUCAGUAGCUAGCUAGGCAGGCAGCCAUGCUCGGGAGGAAGAGAGGAGGGUCGUCGUCGUCGUCGUCCAGGCCGCACGCGGAGGACGCAGCCCCCGCCGGGGGCACCAAAACCGUCGUCGCCGAUGGCGGGCGGCAGGAGGUGACCGUGUCGCAGUUCGUCGCGCAGCUAGGUGAAAUGAAAAUCAUACAGCACUAACCUCAGUCUACAUUAUUUCUAGCGGAGUUGAAUUGCGGGGAAACAUAAUAGACUCCGUAUAUGUGCUGUAUUCAUAUAUGAUUUCCCUUGUGUAACGUUCGGCAGAUGAGGCGGCACGGGAGAGACUGGACCGCAUGAACCGGAGGCUGAGGCUGCUUGAGCAGCAGAUGGAGACGCUGGAGGCGGAGGUCGGGAGAGCCAGCACUACAGACAACUGAUCCAUUUUCCUUUCUUAAUCUCCGGUCGGAAGAUGCUUUAUGCUUAGUUAGCUAGAAGCCUUUCUGUUUCUCCUUUCGUACUGAUCGACGAAAGGAUAUGGUGAUCUCUUAGGUGCUUGCUUGUUUAGGCUAAUUUUCCUGCACAUGAUUAGUGGUUGAUGGUAUUGCUCCGGAAACUUUGCCACGUUCGGGGGCGGGAUUCCGAUCCAUGCUGUGAGGGGAUUGACUUUUGGGGUGGCUUGGAAAAGUAUGUGAACGGCGAUGAAUUCAUAGUCACUUUCAUCCUGUGUGGAAAAUGGGUGCCGUUUCCCAAACAUGCAUGCUGGACCUCUGACUUCUAUACUCACUGAAAUAAUAAAUGGAUUGAGUUGAUCAGUUGAUCUAGGAUAUUUCUAUAGCAAGUUUGUAUUGAUGGAGACAGCCUGAAAUUUGAAAUUUUGCCAGUAAGUACUGCCUACAUAAGAUUAUCAGUAAAGCUGCUCCAAUAAUUUGCAUUAAGACUACUUCACAUAGCUCGUUAAAAAAGACUUGAUGGCAGGUUUAAGCUUCACCUUUCCCAGGCGUGUUCUGAGCUGAGAUGCAGGUAAAAGGAGAAAGUGCCACUCCCCAAGAACUUAUGUACAUUGAACCCUGGCUUUUGCAUCAGUUCUGAGCAAAACUUUAUACAACACAAACUCCCUUCUCCGGACUAAAUCCAUUCAACGAACCGUAGACCUCUUGUACAAGAGCAUGAUACAAUAGUAGUUUGACAUGCAAACUAAAAAACAAAAGGCAAGAAAAUGGCGAAUUACCGAGACACAACAAGACACACAGAUGCAUCCACCAGCGCAACCAGAUAUCAGUACAUCGAGCAUCUUUGUAUUGCUAUUCACAAGCUAGCUUGGUACCAAAGCUGCUGAGGCUGAUGGCAAAGGCUUGAAAUGCUGAGAGUGGCUGCCGAUAAUCCAUUGUGAAGAUAUCGUCGUCGACCUUACCAAACUGCAGCAGAACUGUAUCCUCAUCCCUGGAGCCAGUAGGGUCAUUGGGGUCGGCAGCAGCAACCAACUGGAAAUUCUUGACAGAUGCAACUGUUACCCGCCCAUGGAAGUUCAAGCACCAGCACUGCAAGUGCUCAUGCCAGCGUGGGGCUUUGUUUCUCAAAACUGUGGUUCCCAUGGGCUUCUGGAACUUCGACUUCAGGGAGUUCUCCCAAGUCUCUUGAGUUGAAGGGCACUCAAGUGCACAAUACAUUCUCCUGGGCCCUCUGGAUUUGAGGAGGUUGUAUUUGUAUGAAAGCUGUCCAACUUCAUAGUUGCCUGCCGAUACUUGUGGACUUAUUCUUCUACUUCCAAAACGCCGACUAGAUCGACUACUUGAUGCUUUCGCGCCAUCAUAUGGUGGCUUGCUAUCAUAUACUUUGAAGUUUGUUCCCCAAAAAUCAGAUCUGAAAAGGGUACAGAAGAAGCACAAUCAUAUCACUGGGUAAAAUAUUAAAUAUCAAUGUAAGCAUGAAAACAUAACAUACAGUUAGCUUCCAAAUUGUCUGCAAGCCAAACAGAGAUCAUAGAAAUGUCAUGUAACCCCCCAGCCUAGGACACUGAAGUCCUGACUUCAGAUUCCAAUAACUGCCACAAUACUUCACUUCAGCAACCAAUUGCAGUUUUUUUUAUUAGAAAAUAUCAAUAGGGAGGGCCUUACUGAAAAUACAUGCUAGCAAUAUGGAAAUGUACCAUUUACCCUGCCCAAUUAGCGUCAGUAUGAAUGCACCCUCAAAACACAAACAAAUCAAGUGUUUUUUUAUUGCCUUAAUUAAUACCAGAUCUGCUAUGGCCAGUCCCAUGAGAGCGGACAUUUCAAAAAUAGUAUUUGAAAGUUUCAACCAAAUUGUGUAAACAAUUAUGUGUGUAGAAAUGCCAGGUUUGCUGGAGCGACCGCCCCGCACCGCGCCACACGACCCCGCCGCACGGACCAUGAAUAUUAAUCUGCAUGCGACGUAACAAAUUUACGUCGAGGAGUAGUAGCACCGAGCGCACGUCUCGUCUCGGUAUCUGCAUGCAACGUAACAAAUUUACGCCGGAGUAGUAGCAGCGAGCGCACGUUUGAGGCAGCAGCAGCGAGCUCACGUCUCGUUCGGUAUCUGCAUGCACCGUAAUAAGUUUACGUUGAGGCAGCAGGGGGCAUAAUUUGUGAGGAGUGUCCACUGUGUUUGGAUGAGACAUAAGAAAGUUACGUUGCAGCUUAUAACAACGUAGGAUGCUAGUCAACUAGUACGACCUUAAAUUACGGCAAGCGAUCGAGUGGUUCAGAAGGCUCUGUUGCUUGGUCACGUUGAUUCAUAAAUCACCGGAUUGCUAUUUUUUGAGUGGUUAAAAAAAUUACGUCGCUGGGGUGCUCGCUCGGUCGGGUGGCCAGGUUGGUCCGGUCGUCCGGCUAGUCAGAACGACCAGGGUGAAGAAUAGUUAUUCUACACCAUGGGUAUCUAAUAGAGUUUCUAUGUGUGUAGAUAUAUAUGUAUACUACAUAUGUGUAAAUUUUUUUAUUAAGAAAUAAUUUAAUGUGAGCUACACAAAGAAAAAGAAAAAGAAAAAUAUGUGCAUCUACCCUAGAUAAACAGUGCAUCUAUUAUAGAUCCACAUAUUUUUGUUUUUUGUGUAGCCUACAAAUUAAAAUACUCCCUCCAUCCCAUAUUAAGUGUCUCAACUUUGUCUAAAUACGCAUGCAUCUAUACACUAAAACGCGUCUAGAUACAUGUAAAGUUGCGACACUUAAUAUGGGAUGGAGAGUAGUUCUUAACAAAAUUUUGCAGGUAGAUAUAUUAAACAUUCAAAUGUACGUGUAACUUUUUUUUUUCAAAAUUAUUUAAACUUCUAGAUAUGCUUUUCGUAUUUUUGAAAAUUUCGCCCCAAAGGUGCACAAGCUCCAUUAUGCAUUUUCACAGCCCCAUGCACUACACGAAUUCAAGCACUAUCACAGGCGAUGUGUGGAUUGGACUUCAUAUGCAUACAAAGGUGAAUCUUCUCCUUUACAUGUGUCCACCUCACUGAUACCAAUGUCAGUAAACAGAGAUCACGGCUACCUUCGAGCCAAGGCCGAUGCACGAUGCCGAAGCACGAGGCCAAAGGAAGCCGAAUCCUGAGCCACCGACUUUAAUCCCGGUGCCACCAAACUUGCCAGAGGGACCCACCUCGUUGAAGUGCACUGGAGAUCAAAAGGAAACCCGGCACCAUCGCCGCAAAACACCAAAAGCACCGACAUCAGUGAAGUCGAAGCACGAAGCCAAAACAAGUCGGUGCUACCGAGUCCACCGCUUGCCACACACACCCACCCUUUCUUUCCCUCUAGACCCAGUUUAGACUAUGUUCUGAGCGUUUAAUUCGUGAAGACUGGGCAACAAUCCGUAUCAGGAUCACUCCACUCCCGAGAACAAGUAUUUGAUAGUGGUUGUCUAAAUCAGGACACGUCAUCCAGUUCUGUACAUGUGGUGCCUACAUCACUUUCUUCCAUGGGUCUGCUGGAUCUGCUCCAUGGCACCAAGGAUUGCAUUAAUUUUACAUAUCUAACCCGUUCAGAAAUUAACUAAUCCAUCAUUGUUUCCAUCACUAUGGCCCGUAAAGCACCUAUUGGUAGUAGUACCACUGUUUUCUCUGCCUCAUUUUCUGGGCCGACUUUGUCUAGAUCCCUGCAACUCCUUGAUCAUCGCUAGUGUUCGGCCAAGGGAUAAACGUCAGGGAUCAAAUGUAUUUUGAGAUGGCCGGUCAAGGCACUGAUUAAUCACAAGGCUAACUCCUGUUCGUUUCUCUAACGACUACUUUUAUAACUCCUGUAUGUGACUUUGAUUACUACUUUUAUGCGCACAAGGCACGUACCAGAGUCUAGUUCUUGAUUGGGAUAGCACCAUGAGGAAGUAGCUGGGCAUGAGGUUAAGAUAGGAGACAGGGGGAGCGGCAGCAUGCAGAACAAGUGGAUUUUUCUUUUCUUUUUUUGAAAAGAAAACUCUCUUCCUUCACUUCGAGCAGGUGAGGAAGAUGAGCAGCAAAAGGCAGUAAUCUGAUUUGAUUGCCAUGUAGAGAUGAGAGGUGAGAGAAGAUGUUUCUUUCACGUAGGAGAUACACCAAUGACAUGGCUGCGAUGUAUGCAAUACCGCCUUCAAAAGCGGCUUCAAGGGGUUAAGGUCUGUUUGGUUGGAGACCUGAAGACUGCCUGACAAAAUAUGUUGCCUGAAAGUAGCCUGUGAACUCAAGUAUAUUUGCCUGGCCAGGCACAUAUUUUGUUUGGUUGAUACCCUGUGCCUGAGCAAAAAUGUUUAAAGAAAGGGUGAAGUGCAGGUUCAGGCACACUCACUUAAAGAAGCUACAAGCUCAGGCGCGUAAUUUUGGUGGCCUGAGUCAGGCAGCUUGUCCGGCAGCAAGCAAACAAUUCAGACGCAGUACUCAGGGAGGCUCGUGGCCAGGCACGUUUGCAUCAGGUUAGCAACCAAACACGCUCUAAGUGAUUAAGUAUUCAAAGUCCAGGGAAUUAAGUAAGCCAUAAAAAACUUCAGGGGAUAUUCAAUAAUGAUAAUAAUAAAACUUAGGUCUAUAGAACUCCAGAAAACAAAACAAAAAAGGGAACACAAAAGUUAGCGAAUGUGAAACUAUUAUAAAACUGAAAAGCUUGCAAACUCCCGAGCAGCAAAGACCAAGUCUUAAGACAUGAUGGAAAUACUUCAGCGGUCAAUCACUGAAUUGCAAGGAUGCAGGGGAUUCCAUGUGACUUGCAAACCACCAGAUCAAGGAUGAGCAAAGCAGCUUAGACAUGCGGCAUGGCACCAAGUCAAAGGGUUUGUAGUAAAACACUACAAAUUAUACACCCUUUGACUGAACCAUCAAAACAUAAGUAGCGUACAGAAGACUAAUACAAUGUGAAAAAUGGUGCUAAUUGUAAUUCAAGUUGUACAGUGUCUAAAGGUUUGGUCACCCCACGGCCCUAGGUCUGUUUCAUGAAUCAAAACGUGUUGAACCAAUUAUAUUACUGGAGCCAAUUUGUUAGCACUUAGCAGAAUAAAAAAAAUAGCGCGGUAGUUUAAAGCGAACUCCAAAGCGAUGUAGAACCUCACCUUAGUUUCCCCAUAUAUGCAUUGCUCCCCUGUGACAAGUCAUCAGCAUCAAGGGAUAUAAUGUAUUCAGUAUGGGGACCACGCCUAAAUCUUCUCGCGGCCAUGAGAAACUUCCCUUUAUCCACAGUGGCUGUCAGACAUGAAUAAUAUGUAUUGGAUUAUUAAGCAUCAAGCACAUUCGAUAGUGAAGGAAAUUAGCACACAGCCACGCAACAAACUUCAUCCUUCCGCAGUUGAGGUUAAAGAGGUGAAGAAAAUCACUGCUUAUAAAUGCAUAAACAGGUACCGCCUAAGCACAUAAGUGUUACAGGUAGUAAAAAAGAUCAAGUGUUAAGUUUUAAACUACAUUAUCACCACUAAAUCUGUAAAACUAUCUGAGCUCCAAAAUAUCCAGGCUAAUCUUUUUUUUUACUUGCGGACUCCAAAAUAUGCUCAAACAUGCAGCCGUAGGUGUGCCUCAAAACCCUUGUAAUAAUUAUUUAGAACCAACUGAUACAAAUAGUGAGCAGCAGCAUUCAUUUCUUAGAAACACACGCCAACUAUAACAGUCCAGAAUUUAGUAGAUUUAUGAACACUAUAAUUCAUUAUUCAGUCCACUUGUCCUCCAACAACCACAAUUUAAUCAUAGUCAUGUUAUUAGUCAAGUUUACUCGUGGAAAGGAUGUCCGUCUUACAUAAUAAAUAUAACAGAGAGUAUUUUGAGAUGAAAGAACAGUUGAUUCUCUUCAGACGAAGUUCAAUUAAUGUUUAGAUCCUAGACAUAUGCAACAUUAAAUACAUAUGAGAAUAUCAAGGCAGUAGUUACAUCAGACAGACUUACCAGUUGUCAAGCCAAGGUAGAGGUAGAACGUAGAGUUCUUCUUAUUCCGCUUGAUAAAACACUGCAUUGGGAACUCCCUUGUCCCAGGCUGUUUCACAACAUGGUGUAAGAUUACGCAUACAGAUGCUGCAUAAGAAACUUUUGCACUGAAAUCAUACAUAACUGAGUCACCCCCCUCAAACACAUAAGAAAAUAGCUUCAACCAACACAUAAUUUGCAAGCAAUUUCUGAUUGUGGAAGAGUGAUAUUAAAAUCCCAAUUGACCUAGUCUUCUCACAGGGUCACGACAAAAUAUGCAAGCCUAAAAUUUCUGAUUGUUGAAGAUUUUCCCAAGCCGCCAACAGGUCAAGCUUCAUUGAAACCACCGACCAAAAUACACCUAAUUUAGUGUCCCCGAAACCAAGAAUGAGAACUUAACUGUACUUUAGACCCAUAAACUUAUCUAAAAUGGCACAAGAACUGAUUAAGGUCCUAUCUGAUUCGCCUGCAGGAACAGGACUCUUCCUUGUGUAAUUCCUGUGAAUCUAAAGAGACCUUGAGAAUUAACUCGGCUUCAAAAGUUUAUGGACCACUCCCACAAUCUUUUUUAACGAAUCCAACAAAACAUCGCAGCUAAAUUUACAAGUCCAACCCUCCAAAUCGCAGGAGUAAGAAAUCUCAGCACCUACGGAAAUGGUCCGUAUGCAGGUGAAAUUUGCCGCACAGGCGGUCAGCCCUUGCGCAUUAGUAAAAGAGCAGUAAUCCGAUGCCCCAGUCUCAAUCUCAUCUAAGAGUGAAACCUUCGAAAAAUAACGGACCGAAAGGAGGAAAUAGCUUCACCGGUCCAGCAGUCCUUAAGAAAAAAAAAGUACUCGACAUAAUGGGGAUCGCCAGUUCGCCACAGCCCCUACACCAGCAUACACCGAAUCGGAAGCAGAGAUCCCCAUGAAUCAACGGGUAAGAGGGCCUAUGGACCAGGCAGAGCUCCCAUUCUCACCUGCUUGAGCGAGGACGGGAAGGUGAUCUUGCCAGAAACCGCUGGCGGUCGCACGACGGCGACGGCGGCGUCGCGCCACCGGCGGCAGACGCAGGCGCAUGAGACCACGUCCUUGCGAGCCGGCCACCGCUCCCCACCGGACGCCUCCACGCGCCGCACCACCUCCGAGAGGAGCUCCGGCAGAAGGCGCGCCCACCUCUCCUCCUGCUCCUCCGCCUCCGCCUGCCCGCCCUCCUCCGCCUUUUCCUCCACCUCCACCACCUCCGGAACCUCGCCGCGCUCCGCCGCUGGCUUCUCCCGAGGCAUGUCUUCCGCCCACCACUGUACUGCCUCCCCACUAGGUCGCGGGGCACUUUCUUCGGUUUUGGUUGUUUCUCCCUUUUCUUUUUUCCAACUGUAAUCAAAACCGCGUUUGGCGACGAUAGAGAGGACAUUGAGUACUUGUCUGGAAAAGUGGAUCUAGCACUAACAGACAGGUAGUACUGUGCUGCGGCCUGCGCGUGCGCUUCGUUGAAUUCCACUUGAAUUCCAUUCCUUUUCCGCAGUGGUAUCAUAUAGUCGCGGUAUAGUUGUAAAACAAUCAUGGGUACACAAAAUGUCACUCCCUUUUCACCGUGGAAGCCAGUCGCGGCAACUCAUUAUCACAAAACACGAGGACAGCUGAUCGAAGAAAUAAAGGACAACAAAGGUUUGGGUAAACUGAAAGUUACUUCAAAAAAUCGAAAUUGCCUGAAGCCUGGGAGUAGACAGAUCGGGCCCACCCAAAGACAAACCCGAAAUACUUAGUGUCCCAUAAGAAUGUCUCCACAACUCCUCUCUGGCUAACCUUUUAUGCCUCUUUCUCUUCCUUCCUCUUGUUGAUAUGCAAAUCAAUCUAAGUCAGCUGUAAUCUGCAGCACUGCAUGUAAGUCGGAUCGAAAUGGCAAAUAUAUGUGACUGAAAGAUGUUCUGAAUUCUCAUUCAAUUAGUAGCUCUGAUUGGAGGGGGAAACUGAAGAAAUGGUGCCAUUUUUUUCCUAACAAUUAUGAACUACAGUACUGUAAUUCUUGCCGAAUACUUGGGUUUACAACUGAUAGCUCCAUGAGCUACUGAAUUUUCAGAGAACAAUUCAACAAGCUUUGCAUACAUACACAUUAUGAAAGCAUGUAGAGCCACUGUAUCAAAAGCAGAGCUAAUAAACAACCCGUAUGUUCUACUUUGCAAGCCAGAUUUCUUGCCAUUGAGAUUCUCCUUAGACUCGGAUGAGCACAUCAGGAUGACUGGCGAUGCAGUAUUGGCUGUACGCGUGGUCGCCCGCGACCGACCAAAGACAAGGACGGGAUGGUCGCGACGCGACGGCUUCGAGGAUGAAAACGGGAUGGUUACGGCAGCGACGACGGUGAGGAAAGACGACGACGACGACAUGGUUGUGAUAGAGGCAGCGACCAAAGAUGAGGAUGGAGAUCCAUGAUGUUGUCGGAGAACCAGCAGCGACAGCAAUCCAGAGCCGGGUCGCAGCCUUGCAGGCACGAGAAAGAAGACGAUGAAUGGCUCUGACCGAUUGGUUUUGGGCUUGCCUGGGCCUGGACUUUGGGUAAACAAAGGCGACCAAGGGAGAAAAAAAUUAACAGCCAGCUCGUAGCCACGUACAGGUAAAGUCAUACAAGCAUCGGAUGGAAAUUGUCUUACGCAUAGCACGUCCGUCAAAAAAUUUGGAGUCAACUUCUCUAGCUGGGUCAUUUGCGUUUUGAUAUUUUUUCAAAUCUUCGAUAACGAAAUAGUAUAAGACCAAAUCUGCAUAAACUGGACGGACCAUGUAGGUUUUACUGCGCCGUCCACCUCAGCUGGUGAGAACUUAAGAUCGUUGAACGUGCGUUGGCGGGAGACGCACCUCUCGUAAGACAGGCUGUCGAACCAUUAAAUCAUCACCGGACCGAUGAGAAAGAAGACCAAAAUCACGAAAUUACGAGUCGAAAGAUCCGCAAACUCCAUUGAAUAGACCAUUAUAGUCACGCCAGAACGAAAAUGAAGCCAGGAGACUCCAUUGCCGGAACUCCGUCGUCAAGAACACGCAAAACCUUACCACAAAUGUAACAAGACGAUCGUCAGUUGUUGAUCUGUCCCCUAUUGAUGGCCAAUAGGCUAUUGCAGACAAGGGGACCCACGAAGACGGAAACGAUGGUUUUUCUCCCGGCGGCCCGUGCCCUCCAUCUCCGACAUCCUCCGACCAUCGCCCCCACCAGAUAUGGCACCUCCACGGGAGAAUCUGGCCGGUCAACUCAUUAAUCGUUGCGGCCGCGAGGCGCUGGAGGUCGCUCCGCGCCUCUCCGCAGUCAUGGAGCUCUAGUCAGGCACGGACAACUCUUCGCCGCUAGCAAGUCCGAUAGGAGCGCGCACGGAAACGCGACAGCCUCACCCGGUCCCGUCUGGGCUAGCCUUGCAGUGUUGUGAGCAAGUCGUUGCCGCCCGCCGCAUGUAAUCGGAGAGCUCACGGGUCGGAAUCCACCGGGCACCCCACCCUUUGAUGACGAGGCGAGGCUACGGGCGCGAAUGAAGCGGCAGUCAGUAGUCCCCGUUGUCACCGACGCUAACGCGACAGUGCGUGGAGCACAAGAUCAGGCGGCGGCGUGGCGCACGAAGGCGUUUCUCCCGCCAUACAUCGAAGUCUCCUCCGAGAGCGAGUGAGCUCGCGUUUCCACCGCGUUUGAAGGCUCCGGUGAAGUAUCCCGAUAGCACCUUUUGCUAGUAAUUGUAGUUAGGUUAGCGUUCACGCGAACCGUGUGUGUGCUGAACUAUAUGCUAACACAUAUCAGAUGAUCACUAUGUGCUAUCUAUGGUAUCAUGAUCAAAUUCUCGUGCGACCUGUUUUUCUUACAAGUAUCUAUGCGAUCCGAGCUCAUGAGAUACCGUAUUAAAUCAAAUUUUACGGAUGGCUACGUAAGGGAUUUGCCAGAGAUAUCCUAAGGGCUUGUUUGGUGUUAGUGUUUUUUUAGUCACUACUGUUUUGAUAUUUGAGGGUUUUGGGUGUUUAUCCAAAACUCUCAAAAACCCAAGACAUAGUGUUUUUUAGAAAAACACUAGUACGAGAAGUGUUUUAAUUUGGUACAAAAUUGAGUGUUUGUGGAAGAAAAUUAGGAAUAAUCGUCUCUAAAUCUUUCCUAACAAAUAACAAUUUGAGAUUUCUAAUAUUUUUCAAUUUAGAGUGAAUAAUACCUUAAAAACACACAAGUGUACUAAACAAGGCCUAACAGUUCUAUUUCCAGUUUUGCUGGUAGGUGCCCUACGGAUCCGAGGAGGCGAGGAUCGUAUCAUCGAUAAACUUUUAAAAUCGUCGGCCUCGUGUAGCUCAUCUGCCAUUCUUUAAUUGCACCUAUCCUGACAAAAAUCAACACCGCGGUUCCCGUCGUUGGCGUGUAAAGUCAAACGAAGCUGCGGAGAUUAGCACACUACCGAACUGGUUAGCGACUGGCGGAGUGGCAUGGCAGGGCGCGCACGGUGAGGCGGAGAGUCGCACUCGGGACAGUGACGGCCUCCUGCACCUUCUGUGCAGGUUGCGGACUUCGCUGGCUCUGCUGGGCCAGGUUUGGCCCUGCCGAAUCUUCACCUAGACUUCUUCUUCCGACAGCAGGCUUUGCCACUUGAGCUUGCGCUGAGCUUUGCCUACAUCCAUUACCGAUCGUGGUGAAUAGUUGCGCGGGGCUUCGUGCUGACGAGAGAUUACAGGAACAGACACUAGGGAGGCAUACAUCGCCGAAAUUAAAUGCGGUUGGUCCAGCAAGGAUAUAGAUGUUCCUCCUGGAAUCACCGUGUGUUUUAAUUCCGAGGUACGCAUGUGGGAUUGGCUAUCCUGAUCUUUCCACAGGAUGGUUCAACUAUUGCACGAACGAGACGCGUGCUGAUUGCAGAUUUGGCACUCAUCACGCACUAACCACAAUUAUUGCUUUUGCCGGUGUAGCUAUACGCACGAGGGGCCUAGAUGUACAUGCCGCACGUACGGUGGUAGGCCGAUGGAUCAUCGAUGGACACUGUUCAUCCUUGGGUCCAUGAGGCCAGGACCCGUGCGGCGCGGCGACUGCUCGAGAAGGAACGGGCCACAAGCCUUUGCAAGGAGCAAAAUCCGAAAACACUAACUCUUUAACCGGCUCUUGUUUAAAAUACUGGAGGAAAAAAAUUGAAGAGAGAACGGAACUGGCUUUUCGUGAAGGACUAAAAGUUAGCUAAGAGUUAACUAAAAGUCCACCGUUUAACCGUUGUACCACGUUGCAUUUUAACCUAACAAAUUAUUUAGGAUUACUUUAAAGACACAAGUCAUUGCACAUGUUAUCUGACCGUAGAGUCUAGAUGACAUGGAGUACUACGGAUGCCCUAAAAGAUGUGUUGUGGGGUAACUUUUGUUUAGGAAAAGUUAUCAUGACAACUUUGUUGAUAGUUAAAAACAAUUUGAUCAUUCACUAUUAUCAAGAAAAAUACUUACGUACUCCAUAGUUCACAAGAAAGGAACCGGUAAAAUUCGAAGAAUCCACGUGCCACAUUACUAGUUGGGACCCACCGUAUGGCCAGCUAAGGUAUGAUCGACAAUUUUACUUUUCCUAAGACAGAUAAAAAAUGAUGUGACUAAAACCACGAGAUAAGAAAUACUCCCUCCAUUCCUUAAAAAUUGACAUAUUAGUUUUCAUUAAGACAAGACUUUGAUCACAAAUUACUAUGUUAAAGUGUUGUUUAUAUGACAUGAAACCACAAGUAUUAUGAAGUACUUUUGAUAACGAAUCUAGCGAUACUAAUUUCAUGUCAUAUAAACCACACCUUGACAUAGUAAUUUGUGGUCAAAACCUUGUCUUAAUGAAAGCUAAUAUGAAGGAACGGAGGGAGUAGCAUUGUUCAUAGAUAGCCACUGUCAAACCGAUUGAAUUGCCACUAGUCUGGGGCGAGAAGAACCAAAUCUCAGCGACUAGACUUUGAAAAAACAAUAUUUCCGAAGACCUAUUGGUUGUUUAUUUUAGUAGCAAGACUUUAUGAUUUUUGUCAGAUCAUUAUUUAGUCUAUUGUGUUUUAAGAGGAGAAUUUGGUUCUUCUGACACGCGACUGUGUUAAAUGACUGCGACACUUUCCGAAGAAGAUGGUUAGAUUUUUUUUCUUGAGAGGAAGAAGAUGGUUAGAUGGGCCUCACAGGCGAAUUAUCACAGUCUCCAGCAAGCCCAUUUAAAGUUUUGAGGUCUAACAGAAAGAAAAAAACAAUUUCGAGUCCAUUUAUCCUUGAAGAAAAUUUUAAGCCCGUUUUGCCCGGCCCAUCGGAAACAAAUAACAUCAUUCUCCACGAACCACGGUCGAGCACCACUUCUGAUAUGCUCUCAAUUAUAGAUGUCCAUCAGGCCGGGCCGGCCCGGCACCGUCCCAUCUAAGGUUAAAUGGGCCCGGCCCGAUGAAGCCCGAUUUUAAACGUGUCAGGCCGGGCCAGCCCGAAAUCUCCUGCUCCAGGCCUAGGCGCGGCACUGAACCCGGCCGGACUAGCCCGGGCCCAUUAAGGCCCGGCGGGGUCAGCAAGGCUUUGUAAGCCCCCUCAGCCAAAUGUAAAAAUAAAUAAAAAGACAUGGAUUUGGGCCAAAACCGAAGAGUUGAUGAGUAGUUGAUAUGAUGGGACCAAUGUAAAAUUAAGUUGGGUUGGAGCAGUUCCCCGUAAAAAAAAGUUGGGUUGGGCCAGAUUUUUUAGAGUUGACGGGUCAUAUGUAAAAAAAAUAUUAAACGGGCCGGGCCUGAGGAAGGCUGGCCCGGCCCGAUUAAUUUUGUGCUGGCCGGGCGCAAACGGCCCAAGCCCGGUGGGCUUUCGGGCUUUUUGCAAUGGCCCGGUCUGAUGGCCAUGUAUACUCUCAAUCCCUCUCCCCCCUCUCUCGAAAAAAAACCCCUCUCUCCCCUGCCUCUCCAAGAGAUAACACAGGACAGGAAAGCAGGCGCAGGUACUCGCGGUCCGCCUUCUUCGAAUCCAUCUGCCUUCCCUGAGCUAGCGGGUUUCUCGGUGGAGAUUGCGCCCGCAAGAUGCAGUAGGGGUUGCAAUCCCACUGGCCGACCAGGGGUCAUGGCGGCGCCGCCAAGCGCGAGCAUGGGUCUGCUCAAUUUGGGCGGGUGCGGAGUUUUGCUCCCUUCCUUGCAGCCUAGUUCAGUCCCACACGGGUUUUUGGUCCUUAGAAGGGACAUCCCAGUGUUGCCUUUGAACUGGGGUUUGGUGAGAAGAGGUAGGGUUCUCGAUGCUGGUUUCGGGGCUGCGAGUGCGCUGGCUGGCGAGGCUGGUACCGGUUCAUCGGAGUUGCGGCACAUCGAGAAGGAGCUGACGUUUAGCCCGACAUUCACCGACUAUGUGAAGAUGAUGGAGUCGGUGAAGUUGGACAGGAGCAAGAGUUCCCAAGGAGGUGAUUCGGACGGCCGGAGCUCUAGGAGGAGGUUCGUGGGUGAUGGUGAUGCAUCAGUUGGUCGGCGAGUGGAUAGGGAGUUGGGUGAUCCAAGGAAUCAAUCAUUUGAGAGAAAAAGAGGGGCUCAUAGGGACAGAGGGAGUGAGAGAGGUAGGGAAGAGAGAUCGGCGAACAAUGAUAUUGCAAAGAAUUUUACUGGAUUGGUGGAGAGAAGAAUGUCGACUGAUGCUGAAAAUAGCAGUUAUAGACAGGGAAAGGUUGAAGAAUAUGUACAGAGAAGAAUAGUUAGAGGCGAGCGGAGCAAAACUGGAGAUAGCACGGAUAACAAUGGCCGCAGGCAAUUUGCAUCAUAUGUGAAGACUAAAGAUAAUAGAGAUAGCAUGGUUGAAUCAGCAGGGAACAGGCAUGCCCAUUCAAAUGCACGGAAGGAUUUACAAGAACGGGCAACUUCUAUUGUAAGUCGUACUUCUGUCACUCGGGAUAGCAACAUUUUAUUGGAGAACCCAAAGUCCACAUUAAAUGAGGGAAAAGGAGAUUUUACCAACAGAAGAAUUAAAAAUAUACACGAACAGGACUUCAAAUAUCCUAGAGAGAGAAAAAUUUCCAGUAGCAAGGUCAAUUCUGACAGUAAGUUUCAAAGAUACCAGCAUAAAGUAGAAAGUGCAGGAAGAAAUCUUGUAGUUGGUAGGUUUAGAGGUAGUGACACGGGAUAUAGCAAACCUACUGUAAGCAUGCAAACAGUGUCUGAGAAUUAUGGUCAUCCAAGAUAUGGUUUGGAGCAUGGAAAACCUGAAACAAUUCGAACACAGAAAGGGGAAAAUGUUCAGUUGGGGAAGUUUGUUAGGAGAGAUUCAGAAGCCGUAAUUGAUGACAGGGCUGCUUUCAAGACUUUUGAGGUAUUCACUGAUGUGAGGAACAGACCACGGGUUCUUCAAAUGGAAAUAGAAGAGAGAAUUCAGAAAUUAGCUAGCCAGUAAGUCUUCAUAUGCUCCCUCCGUCCCAUAAUUCUUGUCGAAAUAUUACAUGUAUCUAGACGCUUUUUAGGAAUAGAUACUUCCAUUUUGGGGCAAAUUUGGGACAAGAAUUAUGGGACGGAGGGAGUAAUUGAUUUCAUUCUAAUGCUUGAAUUAUCUGAGUGUUCUGCUGUACAAGUUGAACAUAGCAGCCUCUUCUAAUUUGGAAACAUAUGGCCCAUGAUCGCAGGUUAUAUUUACUCAGUAACAUAAUCAUCACUUCCUUUGCUAUUCUCAUUUUUUACUUAAAUUGUAUGUAUCAGAUUAAACUAUUGCAUUGCCUUCAAUUUGGCGAACUGCUUUAGACAGCUUUUUAUUAUUACCGGUUGUGCAAUUUACCAUCAUUAUUCACAUCACAUAUAUCAUAACUCUGACUUACUCAGUGCAUUUCCCGUAAUCCUCAUCAGAUAUGCGAUAAAUAAUUCUAAUUAUGAUACUAAGCUUCUAACAAGAUCACUGCUCAAAUGUAUUCUUUCAGCAUUUAUUGGUUGGUCACAGCUUAUAAAGAAGGCAUAUGUACGCUUUAAUCCUUACCAGAGUAUCCCCUCCUAAAAAAAUAUUACCAAGCUUCUUUUUAUGUCAGGAUGCCUAGAUGCAAACUGUUAUUUGCAGUUUUUUAGAGAAUUAUUUUAUACAUUUAUGCAGAUAGUUUUUUUGGAAGUUCAUUAGGGAUUGUAUUGGAGCAAUGGAACCUUUUAGCUGAUCUGAUUAAGAUAGCACUUUUUUUUUAUCUGUUUCUUCCCACAUAGCCGAUCAAGAUUAAUCAUGUGGAGUCGCCAUUGUCGUAUUUGAUUCCUUAUAACUAUUUAUUUUUUUGAAGGCUCAAUGCUACAGAUGUAAAUACUCCGGAGUGGAAAUUCUCUAAGAUGAUUCAUGAUGCACAAAUCAAAUUCACUGAUCACUCUAUACUAAGAAUUGUUCAAAUAUUGGGUCGAUAUGGAAACUGGAAACGUGUUCUGCAAGUUGUUGAGUGGCUUCAAUCACGUGAAAGAUUCAAGUCUUACAAGAGCAGGUAAAGUAGUUGCCAACUUAUAUACUUCUAUCUUUAUCAAUCUUAAAUGUUAUGAUGUAUAUGGCACCAGUGUAUUGUGUAAUGUGUUGUUACCGGUAUGAAUAAUUUUAUUGAUGUAUUUGUCUUUGCUUAAAGUAGUUUCUUUGAUUAAUUUUCUUGGUUACCUCCCUGUGACUUAAUUAAAUGGGUAUAAUGUUUAGUAUAUGAAGUUUAUAUGUCAUUCAUGAGAAGUAUCUUCUGAUGUAGGUAUAUUUAUACAACAGUGCUCGAUGUUCUUGGGAAGGCGAAGAAACCUUUUGAGGCAUUGAAUGUAUUUUACACCAUGCUGGUAUAACUACUAAUUGUUGUCAUAUCUUCAUUUUACAGUCAUCUAUAUUAAUCAGCCCUUAUUUAGAUGCUAUCCGGGUAUUCAUUUGUAGGACCAAAUGUCUUCUUAUCCUGACAUCGCAGCUUAUCAUUGUAUUGCUGUGACUCUUGGGCAAGCUGGUCUUGUGAAAGAACUAUUUGAUGUGAUUGAUUGCAUGCGUUCUCCUCCUAGGAAGAAGUUUAUGGCGGGCCCUGUUCAGAAUUGGGAUCCUCGGUUGGAGCCAGACCUCAUUGUAUACAAUGCGGUGAGUUUAUUUGUAGCAAAUGUGAUGCCAUUGGAACCAAUGCACCAUGAACCAGGUAUGUUGUUUAACGGUCAUCUGUUAUUCAGUAGAACGUAACUGCUUCUACUGCUAUGUAGGUUUUAAAUGCUUGUGUGCAACAAAAGCAAUGGGAAGGAACAUUCUGGGUACUGCAACAGUUGAAAGAGAAGAAUAUUCGCCCAACAAAUACAACAUAUGGUCUUGUGAUGGAGGUAUGCUAACUGUGAUACAAAUACAAGUAUAACAUGACCCAUAUUCUCUGUUCUCUCUCACCCAACUAUGCUGGGUUUGAAGGGGCUUCUGUAAAUCUCUUUAGAUCUUCUGGAGGAUAACUAAGCACUCCUCAUUGUACGUGAAAGUUGGCGAGAUCCUUUUUUCGUGAUGUUUUUGUUGUCUUCUUUCCUAAGAGCAGCUGAUUAUACAUAUUGUUCUGUGCCAUAUGUUUCCACUUAUAAUUUGGGCACGAUCUUUUGGUCUAGUUUAAUUACGUGAUAAUGCAGGUAAUGCUUGUUUGUGGCAAGUAUAACUUGGUGUAUGAGUUCUUCGACAGGGUGAAGCAAAAAUCAAUUCCUGGUGCUUUGAACUAUAAAGGUAUUAACUUGAACUUGAAUACAGUAGUAGGUAAAAAGUUCAUGUCUCAGACCUGAUGCUGGCUGCAGUUCUCGUAAAUGCACUUUGGAGAGAAGGAAAGAUUGAUGAAGCAGUGAUGGCCGUGAAGGAUAUGGAAAAACGUGGAAUUGUUGGUUCUGCAAGUCUCUAUUAUGACCUUGCUCGGUGCCUUUGCAGUGGAGGGCGUUGCAAAGAAGCACUUCUCCAGGUUUGGUACAAAAGUGCAGUUUAUAUGUAAUCACUUGCCAUAGCUGACAAUAGUGAAAUUUCCUUGGCUAGCUAUUUUCAUCUUUUUCAUCUUGAUUUCUCACAAUUGUUGAUUAUGUUAAAGAAUAAAUGUGUCGAAGAUAAGCUUAUGCUGGGCACACUGCUGGCUAAGUACUUCAACGGCACACUAAGUUAUAAAUCAAUAUAAUUUAUAUAUUCUGCUGAUUCAACUGAUUUAUCAUGCUUUUACAUACUCUAUUUGCUGUCAUGGCCUUGGGCAGAGUUAAGGUUACACUUGAUUAUGCACUGGACGGAAGAUAUAUGGAUUCAGAGAUUUCGUAUUUAAGCAAGACAAGACCAGAUUGGAUAAACCAUACUUUGGUUGAAGUAGGCACUGUGUCUUGUGACAUAGGAGUAGUUAUAUUUAGAUAUGUGAUUGCAUACUCUAUUUGCUGUCAUGGCCUUGGGCAGAGUUAAGGUUGCGCUUGAUUAUGCACUUGAUGGAAGAUAUAUGAAUUCAGAGAUUUCAUACUUAAGCAAGACAAGACCAGAUUGCAUUAACCAUACUUUGGUUGAAGUAAGCACUGUGUCUUGUGACAUAGGAGUAGCUAAACAAGGCUCCAACUCUCUACCUAUCACUGCAAAUCUUUUUAUUUGAGAAAAGUUUCAACAAGCUAACCAAGGCUCUUUACGAAACAAGUGGAUGCAUGAUAACAUUUGAACUUGCCAUAAAAACCCAGAAGAGUUUGACAUUCAACUAAUUUGGGCUAACGCUCGACUAGUGACUACAAUUACUAUUAAUAACCCCACUGUCUGUCUAUGCACUAUUUGUGUAAUGUCCUCGGACUGCUUCUUUCUCUCUCUCUCUAAAUUUAUCUGAUAGCAUUUGUAUUCCAGGUUGAGAAGAUAUGCAAGGUUGCAAACAAACCCCUGGUUGUUACCUACACAGGACUUAUUCAAAUUUGCAUAGACAGUGGAAGUAUGGAAAAUGCUAAAUAUAUAUUCAACGAAAUGUGCAGCUACUGCUCACCUAAUAAUGUGACUUGUAACAUCAUGCUGAAGUCAUACAUUGAACAUGGAAUGUUUGAAGAUGCAAAAGAUCUACUGGAGAAUAUUCUAAAUGGCAGGAUAGGGAGCAAACUGGAUUCUAGUCAAACAGCAGAAGCUGACAAGUUUACUUUCAAUACUUUCCUGGAGGCUUGUGCUGAAGCAAAGAAGUGGAAUGACUUUGAGGAUGCAUUUCGCAAAAUGUUAUCUAAUGGCUACCACUUUGAUGAACGAAGGCACCUCCGUAUGGUACUUGAUGCCUAUAGGAAUGGGAAGGUACUUAUCCCAUAUGCUCAAGGUUUUGAUUAUUUAUGAAUGUAGUCUAACUUAUAAAGCUAGAAUAUCCAUUGCAUAUAAUUAUUCAGGUCUAAACCUGAAGUUUUUUGGUUGACCCUACAGUAAUAAUGCAUGUCGUAUCUUUCAUGGAGUUAGGAGAAUGUUGGCUUACCCUGGCCUGACUAGAAAGUGUCCAUAGUCUUGAAAAGUAAAUUUGAAGUAAAACAGCAGCAUGAUAAGCUAGCCCCAGUUCGAUAUGAAUUUGAGCCAUUUCCCAUCUCUCCACAUGCGUUCCUGCUGGUGCUCGCGGGACUUUAUUUAGAAUUAAAAUUACAUUUACAUUAACAAUGACCACAGGCAAUUUUUAACAACAUCCUUUCCGCGUUGAUCAGCUUCAUUAAUUCAUCUUCUGUGUGUAUUCUCACCCUAGCUGUAUGUUACCCAUCAUUAUUCAGGAACAGCUUCUGGAAAAUAUAUGGGACUACCUGUGUCACCAUGGCCGGGUUCCACCUGUCCCUAUGAUAAUGGAAAGAUUUUGCUUAAAAUUGAGACAAGGUGACACAACGACAGCACUCUCCUGCAUCAGCAGCUUCCAGGAGAGCAAGAUACGCAGGGUUUCCUCCAUGUCAUGGUUCAAUCUGCUGAACCGUAAUGCGGAUCGCCUGAAGGAGGAAAGCAUCGCCAAGCUUGUCCACGAACUCAACAACUACGCAAGCUCAGGGAGUACCUGUGAUUCGUUGUACCAAAACAUUCUGAGCAGUUGUACAGAAUUCCUUUCUGGUGGAAAAGCGCCUUCUGAUGCACAGAUGCCUUUAUGUAAUCCUUAACCACUAUGUUGGCCUAUUGCCAUGUAAGUUCGGUUCAGUGGGAACCACUGGUUGACUUCAUGCUCUUUUCCAAGGAACUGCUAGUGGAAGCAGGAAGCUGAAGGCUAACUUGAUUACAGUACAGGAGUAGUAGCACUAGCAUCUGGUUGGUUAGCUGUUGACUUUUUGUUGCGGUUGGAUAUUGGCAGAAGCAGCAUUUGACAGCAUCUCGUUGGUUCCUACCCUUAAUAGGGAUUCAUCAGUAUAACAGUGACAGUCUCAACAGCUGGUAUCCCUAGAUUUAGGAUACAUGGAUGAUAGAUACAUGAUAGCUACAUGUUUGAAAAUGUCUGGACCAAUCACACAUAUCUCCAAGUCUGUCCAGUUAUCAGUCACCCUGGAGCCAGUGAAUUUACGGAGUUCGAAACUUUGCUUGGUUGUCUGACACCGGAACGGGUCCAAAACAGCUCUUAUCCCAAAGGCUCCAUCUGGAGAAAUUUGUGCCCCUGCAGAAAGAGUUUACCUCUGUUUCUACGCUGGCUUCUAUCGACACCACGCACCAAUCGCUCGUCGCGGUCACUUGUGGCGGAUUCAGAAAUAAAAUUACUUCGUAUGUGGAUUAUUGUGUUGAAAACUUGUGUAGUUUCAUAUACUCCUUCCAUCCCAAAUUAAGUGACUCAAAUUUAUCCAAAUUUUAUCUAAAAAGCGUCUACAUACAUGUAAUAUUUCGAUACUUAAUAUGGGACGGAGGAAGUAUAUUUUUACAAAUAUUAAACCCCCUAACUUCAACGUGGAUCCGCCACGAUCAAGGGAUUGGUGCUCUAAAAGUACAACCCACGUAGGAGACGUCCAUGUUGUGGCGGGAGGAGCAACAUGGUUCACCAGAGCCAUAGAACAAGUCAAAAUAAGGAUACAAAAUGUCAAAUUGAUUUUAUUUUUUUAGUUUGUACUCCCUCCGUCUUGUAUUAUGUGCCGAAAUAUUACAUGUAUCUAAACGUUUUUUAGGUAGGUACAUCAUAUGUGACGGAGGGAGUACAUGAUUUUGUCAUUCGCUGGCUUGUAUGUUUCUAGAAGAAACAUAUUAUUUUGGGAAAGGCUGGACGAAUAAUAUUGUUUUUUUAAUUUACUAAUGUCAGCAAGUGGCCCAAACCGCUGCAAAGAAAAACUUGCCAAAACCUAUAUGGAAAAUUUCUAGCUUCAGAAUAAAGCAUUGAAAAUUUGCACCGAGCACAAGUUAACCAUUGUCGUCAGUUGACCGUGAAGUGGCUAUUGAGAUUUGAAAAGACUAUUUUGCCCUUGGUCUAAUAUGGUGAUUUUUCCUUUUAGGGUUAAUUUCAUUUGAGAAUUUUAGCAAACAACAAACAAUUCUAUAAUGAAAUAUCACUAAAAAUAGCAAAAUAAUAAUAAUAUAUUUUAGCAUGAAAAGACACAAAAUUUCAACAACAUAACCCCUUAUUUAGCUUAAAUAUCACAAUUUUCAUGACAAAUUUUGGCAAUAUAUACUCAAACUAAUCAUAGUAUAGCAAAUAGCAGAACAAUCAUAUAUGCUCAUAACAUCCCACAUAUAUAUAAAAAAGAAAACAUCACAUUACCUGAGCGGCUGGGCCGGCUGGCCACCGGGAACUGCGCGACAGGCUGCCACUACACUUUCCUAAGUGCUGCCAAGGAGGGUCACCAACACCACGCCCUAGGAGGAUGGAGAAGGGGAUGGGGUGUCACCGUACCGGUUUAGGGAAAGAGGAGUGAGCUGCGAAGGGUGUCGAGCAUGUGGACUCUUAUUUACUUUUUCAAUCAAUUACUCCUAAAGAUAUACCCCUUCAAAUGCAUAAUAAGUGUUUUGAAUUUAGUACAAAAUUGGUACAACUAAUGUCGGUAGUUAAUUUAUAUCCACUGAAAAUGAUUUUUUAGAUAAUGAAAUCUUUAUUACCUCCGGUCUCUGCAUUCAGAAUGCAUACAGCCUAAAGUCAUAUAUUGUUUUUAACAAUUGAAAACAUAUGACCACAUCCACAAAUGUGACAGGCCACAUGAGGAACCAAUCUAGAAACUAAGAAGUUUAGAUCUAGCACGCCACUCAAACCAGGACAUAAACUCCUUGAUCCAUUGUACUCGUUUGGAGCAAGACUCCAUCGGUUCCUUGUGCUGCAUCUUCUGUAUCAACGCUCAUAAUCACAGCCAGUUGAUACAUAAUAGCAACACCUGCAUGGUCGAAAAUGAUAGUGGUAGAUUUAAAAAUCAAACAUAUAAAUUGUACUCGUACUGUAUUUGAUCAUGUUACAAUAAUUCCGUCUUAUCUCUAAAACUUCGCCAUUUCAUGACAUGCAAUCUGGACAGAAGAUGGGGCGAGGAGGACAGGGGCAGCAGCCUGGAGAAUGGUGCGCACGACUAGCGGCAACGCCACACAACGUGGGAGAGUCUACCUUUCCAAACAACAGAAAAGGAUCAGAAUAGAUAAACGAUUAAACUUAAGCUGGGAAAGAAAAACAAAUAGGGGAAACAACGAGGAUACGGGCGGACAUCUGAAAAAUCAUUGCAACAAUUUUUUUUUCUGCCCCUUCCUUUGCGCGUCCCACCUGUCCCGGCGGGGCCCACCGCACGUCUCCUCUCCUCCUCCUUCCCUCAGCCAUUCUCGCCCUGGCAGGCUCGCGCGCCGUCUCCUCCGCUUGCCGCCGGCCACCGCCUCCGCCCCUGCCCCAUUGAUCCGCGCGCGGGAGGGGAGGGAGCCUCCGACCCGCGAACGCCGGCCACGGGUAUGAAUCGUUCCACCACAUUGCCUUCGUCUCAGAUGGGCUGGCUUCCUCUGAAUUUGUUUUUUUAGCAUUUUGUUUCUGUUAACACCUUUGCGAUUCUCGACCUGGUUUAGGUAUUGAUUGUCCCUUUUGGAGAGAAAAAGAGUCCUGCUUGCAAUCGCAUUUGGCGUCGCUGAGAGGCCUGAUUGCAAUUGGUAAGGGGAGGAUUAUAAAAUGUCAAUGGGGGCAUAUUUUAGUGGCAUCUGUGAUGAUGAGCACGAAAGUGUUUUUUUUCAAUUAAUAAUGUUUUCGGAUUUUAAAAAUGGCAAGCGCCGAAUCCGUCGCCGGCGACGACGAGGCUGCGGAGCUGUUGUCCUGGCCCUCGACAACGACCUCCCUAUCCGAUUCUUUAUUCCGAACUUGGUACCCCAGCGUGGAAUUGUCUUCCAGAUGGCCGUGGAAUUCUUCCACCUUCGUUCCUUCCUUUUUUUUUUCUUUAUAGAAAACGCAAUCUUAGACAUGGGGAGAUUAGGUGGAAGAACGCACCGUGAAAAUUUCUUUUUCUUUAUUUUUUCCUAGCUCUGUUGUCGUUGUUGAUUUCUCCAACUACUACUUGUUCCUCCAAGAACGGACGACCGCUGUUUCCUUCUCCAUCUGUCCUCCUCCUCUCUCCGUUCCCCAAUACCACGCUCUUCUCCGUCGAUUCAGUUGCUCGAUUCGAAUCGCGUAUGGCGUAAGCGAAAUCGGCAGAGGCGAAUCAUCAGGCAAAAAGCUAAAGCUGCUCCUUUGCUUUUUGGCGAUGCAAGCCUCGUCUGCUCCUCCACGCUUUCUGAGCUGUUUUUCUGUCUUUCUUGCAUGCAGCAGGGGAAGCGUCCUGAGGCUGCUGCCGUGCCAACAAAGGUAGGCGCAACAGAAAUGGGUGUUCCUUGCGCGUGACCAUGCAUUCCAGGCUGCUCAAGAGGCUCGCCAAGAGGAUCAUGUGAGCAGUCGUGCGCCCGUCGAAAUGUGGGAGAUGGAUGCGUUGGGCUACUGCGUGCUCGUCGUGCUGGCACUCCAUUGUGUCGUCGGUGGCUGCUCGGCAAUCAACCUUGAAGGUAGCGGCAGGCAGCCUGCCGGUGUUGCUGCCGAUGUUUUGCUUUUCGUGGUUGAGCACAGCUCGCGGGGUUCUGGUGUUGUUGAUGGAUUGGAGCUUUUCUCUUGUUGUUGGUGAUGCAGGCUCGGUGCUGCUCAAGUUCAGUUCGAGGGUCGAGGAGGAUCCACUUGGCGCCAUGGCAGGUUGGAGCCUGCAGGAUGGCGAUCCUUGCAGUUGGAACGGCGUCCGCUGCGCGGAUGGCAGGGUUGUGAUGCUGUGAGUCGGAAUGUUGGUUGUUGUCUUUUUUUUUUGUAUGGUUCUAUUUGGGAAAUGGAACGUUGUUCAUCAAUUCUCUGAUGAACCACUAUCAGAAAAAUCAGCAUUUAGUUCUUCUGUUUAACGGGUCUUCCAUCUGACCGCAUCUUUCCGUGUUCAAGAGUAGUUAAAGUAUUGAUUUAUUGUUAAAUGGAUGUUGCAUCGGCAACUGUCUUUUAUAUUCCUUGUUUUCUCCUUCACAGUUAUCGUGGUUUGACUUAUACGAAAUGAAUGUGUAUUGUGUCUAUUGAGUUUCUGCUGACACAAGCAUCUCUCCGCUUGGUAUAAUUUACAAAAGAUAGGCUAAAGGGUAGGGGCUCGACGAUCAACGCACUGGAACUUUUGUCAUAAAAUUUCAUGCAACCAGCCCAUGAAUGCGCUAUUUUGCUAGUAAUUAAUAAACAUAGUAUACAGUUUCUUUGUUGAUUUGAGCACUUCAGGAAUCUCCUUUUUCUUGCAUUCUUUGAAUUUACAAUGUAUAAAUUGUUCACGAUUUCCCAGAAAAAUAUGUUCUUUGGGAGCUAGAGGCAUGCGCACAAUCGUAUUAUAUGUUUUAUCAUAAUUUUAAAUCACAUUAUUUGCCUUAUUAGAAUGGUUUCUUGAUGACCAACAAAAACAAGUUUUUUUUUCGAAAAAACACAAACAAGUGGCUACAGCUAGGUUAAUUCAAACAAGUUUUGUUAUGUUUGGUUUCUUCUACUGGUGAUAUUAUUCUGUGUUGGGGAUUAUUGACUUAAAGUGAGACAACUGGCAAUAACAUGUUUGGCAUAGUUUUGCUCAAGUGAAUUACUGUUAACUGAAUGUUAUAAUCUGCUAUAUUAUAGAGUAUGUUGGCUUGAUUUAUCAUAAUAAGAAUUCUGAACAAUUUGUUUGCAGGAACCUGAAGGAUCUCUCAUUAAGAGGAACUCUGGGUCCAGAAUUAGGAAGUCUUAGUCAUUUGACAGCUCUGUAAGUAUACAUUUUCAGAUUUACGCCUUGCAAGAAUAUAAAUUGGCAUUGCAUGGACAACAUUAUAUGGUAUUUUGAUACAUGCUCUAUAUUCAACAUAUUAAAGAGAACAUAGUUUGCCUGGCAGGCAACAAUAUCUGAGCAAAGUCAGUUUAAAAAAAUGAGUCAACCACCAUCAGUUAGGACAUUUAAAGUUUAUAUAUCUAACCAACCGGUGAUUACUGAGUUACAUCCUUCAUAGUUACAAUGGUAUGUGCAUAUCAGUCAAACAAAUAUGAGACAAAAAAUCUCAUACGAAGUGUUGGUUUUACACAGUAGCAUGAAAAUUUGGUCCAUCAGUUAAUCAAGGACUUGUUGCUUAAGUAACUGCUUUUGGAAACUUUGAUCAUGUAAUUUUACUUCUGCAUGCGAUUUGAAUAUUUGGUACAGCCAUUUUAAUGUUUUGGAUGUUGCUGUCCACUUCCAGUGUAUUAUCCAACAACAUGUUCAGUGGACCGAUACCUAAGGAGAUUGGCGGUCUUGCAAUGCUGGAGAUUCUUGAUUUAAGCAAUAACAACUUGACUGGGGAAGUUCCACAGGAGAUAGCAGAAAUGCCAUCACUUAAGCAUUUGUAGGUCGUCUGACUGAUUAACUCUGAAUUUUUUACCAACAAGUGAAAUGUCAUGAUACGAUGUCUCUUAUUUGGCAGAUUGCUUUCCAACAAUAGAUUUCAAUGGCCUAUGAUCCAAAAUCCAUAUGGAAACUUUGAUCAGGAAACUGAUUUUGACAUCUAUGAUCAUUCCGGGAGGGGUAAUAUGAAUCAGAGAGCUGAUGAUGGGUAAGAAAACUCAGGAUUUUCUCAUUAAUUCUCCUACAGUUAUCAUUGGAUAUUUUCUAUAACUUAAUUUAGAAAAGGAUUUAUCAGCAGAUGCUGAUGAUAGCAGUUUUUAAAUGUGGACCUUUGUAGGUUCGGGUCUGGUUCUUCAACAGAAGAGAACAAAAAAGACACAAGCAAUCUCUCUGGUAUCUAGCCUACUGUUAUCCAAGUUCAGUUUGUGCCUAAAUAAUCAGCUAGAAACCUAAUAUGCCUUCUUCUUUUUCCCAGCUCGUCUUCCUUCGCAAUUUGCAGCAAGAAACCCAGCUGCUCAGCUUAGCCGGCGCAAACUACUUCAGGAUAGCAAUCUUGCUGCUGCGCCUUCUUCUGCAAAUGCUCCUGUUCCAGCUGCUGUUCCUGUUCCUUCUACUGGAAGUGGCUCAUUUUCAGCAUUUAUUCCCAACAAUGCACCUCCACCAGCUGUGAAAACUCCAAUUAGUCCACCCAUUCACUCUGACACUCCUUCAGAAGCAGUGUCAAAACCAAGAUCUAAAAAGUGGUUGUAUGCAAUUGUGAUUCCAUUGAUUGCUCUAUUGAUUAUUGGCAUCACAUGCAUGCUUUGUCUAUGCCGCAACAAGUCGGUAGCGACAAUAGGUCCAUGGAAAACUGGACUCAGUGGCCAGCUACAAAAGGCAUUUGUGACAGGUAAAUAUUUUGCUUGCUAUGUGAAUAAUGUAAAUUUUGGUGCUUGGAUUUUAUAUCAUCAUCCAGUAAUUUGUGUUCCUUAUGUUGAAAUAAUUUCUCCCCUGCUCCAAAAUUGUCAAUUACCUGGUUGGUUUGCCUGUUACUUAGAAUCUGUUAUAAGUUUUCUGUCCUACUGUACUGCAGGAGUACCCAAGUUGCAACGGUCAGAGCUGGAAGGCGCUUGUGAGGACUUCAGUAACAUCGUGGCAAGCUACCCACACUACACUGUCUACAAGGGAACCUUAUCAAGUGGCGUAGAGAUAGCAGUUGUAUCGACUGUUCUUGCAUCCAGCAAAGAUUGGUCAAAGCAUUCCGAGGGGAUAUUCAGGAAAAAGGUAAUCCAAUGUUACUUUAUUAGAGGAAUAACUCACUCUGUUACUACAAUUUGCAAUGUGGAUCUUAAGCAAAUUCUUCUUUAACUUCUUUUUGGGAACACAUAGAUAGACUCGCUCUCACGAAUUAAUCAUAAGAACUUCAUCAACCUGCUUGGAUACUGUGAGGAGGAGGAGCCUUUCAUGAGGAUGAUGGUGUUAGAAUAUGCACCCAAUGGAACACUCUAUGAGCAUCUCCAUGGUAAAGCUGUAAUGCUAUUCUAUUUCAGUGUACUGUUUGAUCUUUGCAGUCAAAUUAAAAUGUUUUCUUUACUUUUUGCAGUUGAGGGAUUUGAUCAUAUCGAUUGGAAUGGUAGGAUGAGAGUAAUUAUGGGAGUAGCAUACUGUAUCCAACACAUGCAUGAGCUCAACCCUUCUAUAACACACCCUGGUCUACAGUCAAGUGCCAUAUUGUUAUCUGAGGAUGGAGCUGCAAAGGUAUAGUGCAUUUAUUUCUUUGAAUAUCUGAAGAUCAUGAAAGGAUGCACCAUAACUUAUUUAUUUGAAUAUCUGAAGAUCAUCAAAGGGUAUACCAUAUUUUCUGUCUUACCCAAAAUUUUAGUAAUAUGGAAAAAUGGAAUUAUAUUACAUGACUGAUACUUCAUCAUUCUAAACGCAUUUUCUGAACAUUAUACCUUAUAGAAUGAGAGGAAAAAUAUAAAAACGAGAGGAAAAAUAACAUAAAUCAAAUGUGCUCUGUCUGCCCCACAACAAUUAUAGAAUAUUGCCCAGUUCAUCUGUAUAACAUUUUUUUUCUCAACAACACACCAAGUCAUUUUUGAUGGAGUUCAUUUUAUCACACUGGAAUAAGAUCAGGCAUGAGGAUAUCAUAAUAUGCUUUUCCCUAAAACCGAGCCUUUUCACAGAUAGCAGACACGAGUGUUUGGCAAGAAGUAAUAUCCAAAGAAAAGAUGCCCAAGAAUGAUGAUGUCAGCGAGCACCAUGAGCCAAUGCCUGCUGACCCAGCUGGGAAUGUAAGCAGUUUUGGUCUACUCAUGUUGGAAAUCAUCUCAGGAAAGCCUCCAUAUUCUGAAGACAAAGGCUCUCUUGUGAACUUGGUAAUGACAACAAAGACAAAUGUGUACUCAAAUCAACUUGCAAAAUCCACAAAAUGACAUCUUGAAGUAUCAGUAUUUCACCUUUUUGUUUUGUUUCUCACAGGCUUUGGAGUGCAUAAAAGAUGACCGAAGUAUAUCUUGUUUGCUUGAUCCUACCUUGAAGGCUCACAAAGAAAACGAUCUAGAAAUCAUCUGUGAGCUGAUUCAGGAUUGCAUCCAAAGCGAUCCAAAAAGGAGACCAAGUAUGAGAGAGGUCGUCACUAAACUACGAGAAGUGCUAGCGAUUUCACCGGAGGCUGCAACGCCGAGAUUGUCUCCGCUUUGGUGGGCAGAGCUCGAGAUACUUUCAGUUGAAGCAACCUAGGAAGAAACAUGUCCAUAUGGUAUGGUUCUUGCAGCAACACUGAGGUUAUGUGUAUACUGUCUUGCAAACUUGUACAUCUUUGUUGUGAGUAUCUGCUUUUCUGGCGAUUUUCAGUGUCUGCCUGUGUUACCUUCUCCUCCUCCCGCAAAUUUAAAAUUUCCGGGUUGUUUUCUUAUUUCUUCUUGACUUUUCUCUCUAUACUGAACGUACAUGGUGUGGUUGUAGAAUGAUCCAGGUCUUCUUAGAGUUGAUUGUAAUCAGGAGAUGUGUGAUUGUGUAAUGUACCAUGGGGUUUUACGGAAAUAUUCUUUCAUUUUUUUUAAAGGGACAACAAUCAGUAUGGAGGGCGUUGAUAGCUUCUUAAAACGCUGUCCACCUUGUUACAAUGGCACUUUUGUCCUCAUUUUUUCCAGAUCGUCUUUCAACAUGAAAUCACGUAAUUCUUGCAAACACUCGCUUUAAUAUUGGAUCAUGUUUGUAUGUCAUUUCAACACAAUGAGUGCAAUCGCGAGGCAACAUUCUGACACAGGCGUGGCAUUGGCUGUUUGCUGGGCUCUCCUAACUUGUUUUGUGAACGGUAUGCCGUUAGCCUCUGUUUGAUUUGCUCCUGGUCAUGCUGCUCGGCCUCAAGCCCAAGUUCCCUGGUGUUGCUCAGUCUGUCAGUCAUCGCUUGACGUAAGCAAGAUCCGAUACAACAAGAUACAAACAGAGGCAGAACGUCUCAUUUACUCUUUUCGUAUUUGCUACGGUGCUUCUUCGAUCAUGUCACUGUGCUACAUUUUCUGAGAGGUAGCAGUACCUGUGAGAUAGGCAUUUUGCACGCAUGGGUACUACGGUGGGAGCUAUCGUGAAACUGUACUAAUCCCGCGCAAAUUAACAUGGAACGGAAUGAGUAGCAUUUUACACGGCUUGAACAGCUUUGGUAACUGCUGUUGCGCAGUGACCACCAAAAUCUAAAUAAUUCAGAGCACAAAUAACUAAGCACAUAGAAGCCCAGGAAAACCUCACCACGAAGAAGCCCUAGGCAAUUCGCAAGUGAAGUGUCAAAUGACUCAAUAUGAACUGGCACUGGCACUCGGAAAGGUUACACAUAGUAUCGAAUUGAUCCCACAGUAAUGAUCACCACAAAUAGUUUUACACAAAAUACAUAUUUCUUUCCUAAAAAAGGGAUCUUCAUUGAUUCUUAUCGCAUUACAUAGAGCAAGGUAGUACACAUCGAUAAUUUAUUCGCACAAGCAGUUUGGCCGACAAGUUCAGACACCAGAUCAGUGGGGUUCCACUGGAAGCGUUCCAAAGAGUUGAAGGUCCUACAGUGCCUUUAGGAUCUCCUCGGCACCAGAGACUGUGAAUUGACCACCCUCCUCAAUGUUUGCAACAGUGACCUUGAGGUCAUCAGCAAGAAGCGCAAACCGCCUCGAGCGGAGACCCAAUCCUUUCUCUGUAAGAUCAAGCUCAAGACCAAGCACAUUUGUGUAUUUUCCUGCUCCGUCAGCAAGGAAUUUGACAUGCUUGUUCUCAGGGUAUGUCUUCGCCCACGCCUUCAUGACAAAGGGGUCAUUGACUGCAAAAUCAUACUAGGAUAGUGAGUGAAUUCAGUGUUAUUCUGGCUUUGCUUAGGUCAAGACUAUAUGCGAAAAGGGGAUAUAGUGUGUCGAUCUAUCAUCUAUGUAUGAGGACAGAAGGUACCAUAAGAAAAGAAUAGGUGCCAGUGUCUCAGAGCAGAACUUGGUUAAACAUGUAUACUAAAGUGCUAAAAAACACAGGUUCUAGAUGUCUCUAUGCGGUAUUCUAGCCACAUUAAAACAAUGAUAUAUAGGUACACAGGGUCUGUCUGAUAAAAUUACUACUCUAUUAUAGCGCGCACUCGUAUUUCGAGAUUCAACUUUUACCAUCAAUCUGACCAAUAAAACGUGGGUUACGUGCCACAAAAUUAUUAACAUUGAUUUCGUAUCUGAAAAAAGUUUUCCAUGUUAUAAUUUUUUAUAGCCAAUAACUCAUAUUGAUUGUCUAAUUGGUAGCCAAGUUAAAUCUUGGAAUGUGUAUAAUAUGGCAUAACAAAUACCUGUCUAGUAAUCUUGCGAAAAAAUUAUCGUUCUAGUACAAGAUAUACUUGUGUGUUAAUGUAACUCAUUGAGCAGUCAAAAUCAGGCAUCUCUUAGGACUUGGCUGUUUUCUUUUCAAAAAACAUUCAAUAAUGCAGGCAUUCAAAAAACAUGAACUGAUCUUUCAAUGUUAAUUACAAUGGAGCUACCUUACCAUUAUGCAGAGAACACUGAAAGCUCAAAAUAUCCGAUAUGCAGUUUUCUGCCAAUAGCUACUUUCAGAACAUGAUGGGAAAGAUAAAUAAAUGCUGGAAGCAUACCGCUGACAAGCAGGAUCUCAUCUACACCCUUGGCUUUCAGCUGCUCAGCCUGACUAAUGAAACCUGGUACAUGCUGAUUGCUGCAUCCAAAGAAGAAAACACAGGGAGGACACAAUGUGACUAUGCUGGAGUUUCUUUCAGUAAUACGAAAACAGAAAUCUGCAAAUCGGAUACCAAAGAGCAACAGAAUCCCUUUUUCCCGGAAAAAAUAUUAACAAUGUCAUAUACAGACGACGUGGAGUUACCAACAUAGGGUGAUGAUGAGUGAAGAACCACUUGAAUAUCUCAAACUACUUCCAAAUUUACCAAAUUUCGAACAUCUCAAGUAAAAAAAUCUACUGAAGUACUGCUCGAGUAAGCUCUACUAGGUAUCGACUCAAGUUGACAGUUUAGAGCACCCGCCGUGAACAAGUUCUGCAAAACAGCAUUCCUGAAGUUCAGUCGGAUGCAUCCAGGUUUACAAAAUCUCUUUCACUGGUGAAAAUCAAUAACGCAACGCUGUCCAUUAAACGAAAUCCUCCAAAUAUCUUUCCUCAAAACAGUUUUUUUUUCACCUAUACUUCCACGAAAGUAAAUCAAGUCCGGAGGAAGAGGGGAUCCUGGCAAAAAGCAAUUCCAGAGACCCUAUCCACAAAUUUGCAGGGUCCAGGUCCGCGCUCCGCAACGACUACAUCUAAAUAAAACAUGGCGGAUCCUGUUGCAACCGCUCAGUUACGAACAGUCAAACGCUCACAUCGUUUUUCGUCGAUCUGUUGAAUACUCACAAUUUCAAAUCAAAGAAGAAAAAAGAACUGGGGGAAGGACCGAAGGACGAGACCUGCAGGUGGGGGUGAAGGCCCCAGGGACGCCGAAGAGGAUGACCUUCUUGCCGGCGGCUAGGGCGUGGAUGGAGACCUGCUGCAGCUGGUCGUUCUCAUCGAACCAAGCAAGCUGGCCGUCGGGGAGGGUGCUUCCAACGCCAAUCGGAGCCAUGGAUGGUCUUUGCUAUGGGUUGUUGGGACUUGGGAGGGGAUUGGAGAAGGGUCUAGAACUAUAGAACGGAAGGCAGUCAACAGGGGUGGGAAGGAAAGGCAAGCGAAUAAAUACGGAAUUUGCAAUUGAUUGUGGGUGGCCUUUUACUAUGUCGUCGCCUCGUCGGUUGUUGGGAGGAGAAGCAUCGGUUAUGUCACCAUGUGUGAACGCUAAAUUUUCGGAAUAUCCCUGGUCGUAAAUUCCAAAUUGGAUUAUUUAUCUGCGACGACACAAACUGAUUAUUUUUUUGUUCAGUCGGGUAGGAUAAUUGAUUCUUUUUAGUGAGUAGGAUAAUUAAUGUUUUUUUAGAGUGGAUAAUUGAUGUAUGCAGGGGAUUUAGGGUGGGCUUGAUUCAGGGGUUGGGCCACCGGCAGGGUUUAAAUGGCCCGAACCGAUUCUUCCAUGUGUUUGGUUCACGGCUUCGUUUAACCGACCUAAAAUCAGCCCAAAACAGCGGUCUUAUGCGCUUCACACGGGGUGCUCAUCUCUCCCGUCUCUCUCGCGGGACCUUCUCGCUCGCUGCCAUCACUCGUGUUGCCAUGAAGACGGCAGCCUCCUCCUCCUCCUCCUUCGAGACGCGGCGGGCCUGUGCUGGAGGGGCCAGGGGAGUAGGCGUCCAUGGCGAGUGACUCAGCCGAGGCGGAGGACAUGCCAGAGAGGCGGCGGGAGGGAAAGGGAGGCAUGGCGGCAGUAGGCUUGCGCUUGAGGGGCCAAGGGAGUAGGGCGUCGGGGCAGCGCUGGCGGCAGAUUGUUUUGAGGCGGAGGAUGCGCCGGAGACACAGCGGAGAGGGAAGGGGAAGGACGAUUGAGGCGGGGAACAAGCGAUAGAUUGACCUUCCCGACGACGAACGACGUCACGACGGGCGAGCGCGGGGGGGGGGGGGGGGGCAGUGAAAGGGAGGCCAUGGCGGAGGCCUUGAGCGCGAUGGCGAGCGGCGACGGGUUGAGAGAGAGAGAGGCCAUGGUGGCAGAAAGGGAAGGGAGCCACGAGGGAGAGGGGACGCAAGGAGGCAUCACGAGAGGAAGGUGAUGACGACCUCCUAACCAAACAUGAAACUAGUUGUCCCCACCUUUUUUAACUAAACAUGAAAAUUGUUGGCCCCUACGCUAAAAUCUGAUUAGGGCCAACCCUUCUUCUCCACUCACCAACCAAACACACGGUUUAAUGUGUCAUCAAUUAGACAAAGGCUCGUCCUCGAGCCACCUAGCUUCUCAGGUUGGACUGCUUCUGGUUUUGACUUCGAUGGGUGGUUCAAAGAUUUGAUAAAAUUGGUUGGACGUGAUGAUGUUCUUUUAUUCCUUUGUAGCUUUUGUUUUGCCUAUGUGGCUUCUUUGAUACCCAUAAUAUACAGGUAUCUCCCUUUCAAAUAAAUAAAUAAAAUAGAGGUAUAUAAUCCUUUCAAAAUAAACAAAUGAAAUACAGGUCUAUAGUCCCACGUAACAAACAAAUUUGUAAUUAAGAAUUGAAACCCGCCGUGAUGCCGUUAUUUUGUAAAAAGAAUUGAUACCUGUCAGUUGAUCGCAGGAUGCCGUUAUUUCGUCAAAGAAUGUAAAUUUGUAAUUUCUUAACUGAAAAGCACCUAAACACUUAUAUUUUCUGACUCGCUGGGCCGAGUAAAGACGCAAAAAAGAUGGAGCGAAGAAACGCAAAAGCGUCGACAGCAGGAUUCGAACCUGCGCAGGCAAAGCCCAACAGAUUUCGAGUCUGUCUCCUUAACCACUCGGACAUAUCGACUGUUUAUGCUCGCUGGGGCUGCACAAGUUAUUUAUUAGGAAUCCAUAGAUUGAAAUGUCUUGCUUUGAUCUUUUUCAAUCGUCAAAUGGUCUUGAUCAAGAACACGGGAAAUAGUAACAACUCCUUGAAUAACUUUCUUAACACACAGGUCCUGUAUGGUGCAGUGUUUUUGCACGGUCCGGCUGUUUGGCCGCCGUCAGAAGCGGGAGGAGCCGUCGGUCGGAGACGGAACCGGUUCUGGUGCCUGCAGAGGUCCGUCUUGGUCACGGUCUUCUCGUCGAUGAAGACGACGGGCAUGUCGCCGCAGAGGUUCAGUCGCGUGAGGAGAAGCUCGCGUAGCCAGUCCGGCAGCUCCCUGCAUGUGUCGGCUGGCUCAAUUCUGCCAGGACUCGGACCCGGAGCGGCGGCAGCCAGAGCAAGAGGGGCGGCGGCGUAUAUGGGCUCAACGUAAUCUAUAGCCUCGACCUGGUUAUCCGCCGGCAGCAGCGUCCGCCUCUUGGCCCGUUGCUCUGCGGCGUCACCGCGUCAGAGUCCGGCACGGACAGCGUGAGCUCGACCGCUUUGUGUUCUGCGCCGCCGCCGCCGCCGCCGCCACGGGAUUGCUCUUCUCGGCCUCCACCACGAGGCACACAUGGUAAUCGAACCGCCAGGCAUUCUCGAUCUGCACGCUUGCUGCGAAUCUCUCGGCUUUGGCGACAAGUCCAACUCGCGAUUGAGGGGCGUGUGAAAUACUAUGGGCAAUGCUAUGGGCAACCCUGAUCAGGACUAGCUCCGGGCCUCCGGCCGGUGGAAGCCUGGAGGCUGUCGUGCCUGCCAUGGGAAUCGAUUAAUUGGGGAAACCGAUGUGAAAUUAAAACUGGCCGCCGGACUCGAUGGCAUUUCUUGUCACGUCAGAACUGAUUGGUUAGAAAGCAUGCAUCCAGUCCGGCUCGUGCACGAGUUGCUGCCACCCUCAACGAUUGAGGGUUUUCCCCCGAAAAAUAAAUAAAUCCGGACAGGCGAUUCAACGCAUGUUGUCCAACAAUCAGAAUGGGGGUACGAGUUGUACUAUUACUCGACUUGUUGAUAAGGUAUUUGCGAGUAGACCGUUAGCGGUGUUUGUUUGAGACACGAUGAUUCAUGAUUGUUGUGCCUUUCCUAGAAUGCCCUUAAUUCUCUCUUCAAAACAUUCGUUUUCGUACAGAUUUCCUAGCCCCUAAUUCAAAAUCGAUGGUCCCAUCCCAUUUAAACGAAUGCAAGGUCAGAUUCUAGCAGAGGCAAAACAAAAAAAAAUUCUAGUAUAAAAAAGAUGUAAACUACAGUGUAGAAAGCCCCCUUAAAACUUGUUCACACCAUAUAAUUUCUUAAUGUCGGUUUUUUCUCCUUUUUGAAAAAAGGGGAAAAAAAUCUUAAUUAAAUAAAUUCAAAAUUGUCUGAAAUGAAUUCAUCGGAAAGAUACGUGCAAAAAAAAUGUGAGAAAGAUUUGUGCAUUUUGGUGGAUCCAUGUGUGCAGUGCAGGUGGUUCCUAUAAGUUUUGUGCCCAAUUGUUUUACUCCCUCCGUCCAAUCAAAGAUGUCUCAAGUUUGUCAAAAUUUGCAUGUAUAUAGACAUGACUUAGUGUAUAGAUGUGUUGUAGUAAAAUAAAACCUUUAUAUUGGUCGGGCCGUAAAUCCUACGUGACGGCGACUAAGUCAACUUUCCAGCGUGAGUCAAGAUGCUCACGUGGCGUAGUCAAUCCUACAUGAUAAAGGAAGACAAGUCAACAAUUCAAACCUCUAAUACGAUGGUCAAAGAGUGAAAUGAGCUAGAGUAAGGGGCAAGAAAAGUGUGAGGACCAACCAUCAUUUUCUCCCACAUGGUGCACACAAAAGUUAUGUACCAAAAAGAUACUUUUACCAUUUUGCCCUCACUUUUCUCUCUCUCUCAAGAGUAGCCAUGGUCUUUUGUCAUGGAUCCCUAGACUAUAAAUACCCCCCAUGAGGGCAUGUAUCAUUCACUCUCAACUUGAAUAAACUCAAGGGGAGAGGCUAGAGUGCUCCCUCUAAGGUUCGCUCUCGAGCUCCGCUUUCGACUAAAAGUCGACCGGCAUCGAGGAAGCCUUCUAGAAGACUCUAGUUUCGAGGCUCCGAACUAACCUUGGUUAGCACGGGCUCGAAGGAGAAAGGGUUGGGUUAGAGUUCCAAGGUAUCAUAACCUCGAUACUUGGAAAGACGAGUUCGGUCCAAGUACGAGACGGCCCCGAUGAAUCUCUCGCUAAAGAUGUCUUGGGAAGAUCCGCUCAGCCCAAGCAGUUGGCUAACAAUCCCCUCGAAGCCUUUCCUAACAUAGGAUUAAGUCGUACCCGCAGGGUCGACCAAACCUAUUCAAAAAAUAUCGACGUGUCAACUUGUCCAAAUGUACGGCAACUUUCGCUAUAAGGCCGGCAUACACACUCUACUUUUAUACUCGCACUUGUGCAAUCGAGCAUUGGCACCCUUUGCUCUAAUUGUUGUCGAGAACAACAACAAGAUGCAUUCAAAUUUGGUCAAACUUGAGACAUUCUUUGUUGGACGGAGGGAGUAUUCAUGUUCUCCCCCGAAUUGGGGAUUUUGGUUUACGUAUUUCAAUCCUUGUAACCGCCAGAUUAUUUGAAGAUUUCAAUUAUAAUUCUUGAAUUUUAGGCUCCAUUCAUGGGAGGCCAAAACAAGGUAGUAUCAAUGAAAUUGUCAAACGUAUGCAGAACAACAAUCUCACCUGUGAAUUAUACAGACUUAUAGAUUGGUACAUUCGAAUCUAAAAUCUGAAAAGCGUAGGCAUGAAUUUCAUUUGAUUCUUUGCAGAUGGUAAUUAAAAAACGGUUUUACGAACGAUCUCGUAUUCCAACAAUUCAAUUCCAAAAUUUGAAUUCUUGGAGCCAAACACAAGGCACGAUUGAUAGAUUGAAAUCCGAAAUCAAGAAAGAGUAUAGACGUGGAUUGCGAAAUCUAACAAUUCUGCAAAAGCAAGGCCUCGUACGUGUAUGUAGCGCACUUGUUCGGUUCUCUUCUUCCUUCUUCCCUAUCUACGCCGCCGGUUGCCGUUCUUUCUUGGUUAGCAGGACAAAAAGUGGGGUUUCUUGGCACAAGUCGACGCCGAAGUAAUGAAACGUGCGAUCCCUGAAGGCCCAGAUCUGGACGACUUCGUCGUCCUCCGCCUUGAAGCUGCACUGGGUGAUGUAUUGACUGUACCCCUCCCCCUUGAUGACGAUGACGCCGCUGCUCUCCCACCGCGUCAGCUGCAGCUCCUGGAUGCCGGCGUCGAGGUUGACCACGAGCACGGGUAGCCCGCCGUGCUUCUUGCCCAUCCUUUUCCUCCUCCCCUGCAGUUCCUCUUCGGUCGGCGGCGGCCUUGGCGCCGGGGUCUCCUCGCGCGGUAUGCUGGCGGCCUCGAGCUCCUCGUCAGAGAGGAUGGGGCAGAGGUUGCGCAUCACGUCCGGGAUCGGGAGGCGGAAGCGGCUCUGGCGCGAGUCGAGGUCGGUGGCGGUCACGGGCUUCUCGGCGAUGAAGUGCACCGGCAGGUCGAAGCGGAGCCGAAGCCGCGGGAACAGGUGCUCGCGCAGCCACCACGGCUCGGCUGGUUCGCCGGCCGCCUUGGAGGGAGCGGCGGCGGAGAGCGGGACGGCGUCGAUGAUGACGGGCGGCGGCGCCAAGAACGGGACCGGGGCGCCGGCAUUCGCCGAGUGGCUGGCCGCGUUGGCGCGUUGCUCUGCGGCGGCGGGGUCGUACACGGCCAGCAUCAGCGCGUGCGGUCUCUUGAGGCCGGCGUAGCAGCACGGGGGGUUCUUGGUAGGGAGGGGAAGGUUCUUGGCUCGAUCGGUGGAGCACAUGGUGUUCUUGGCUCGCUACUCGAUCGUUGGGAAUUGGGAUCUCCUACGUACGUGUUCUUGGGCGUCUAAGCUUAUCGCGGAAGGCUAAUUCGCUAGUGCUAUCGGUUGCAAUCGCCAAUGGUUCAUGCCGACCUCCCGGAUUAUAUAGAUGGGAUGGGAUGGGAUGCUCGUCGGAAUUGGGCCGAGUCGGUGAAAGAGAGGGCUUUGCCGGCUCCGGGCUCGGAUCUCCUCGUGGCAGGGGAGGACACGUCUAUCGAGAUGGAAGCAUUAAAUGGUGCGUAUCCGAGUACAGCACUCAAUGGAAGAACAGAAAGAUGGCUGGUGGGCCCAGGCUGCGCUGAGCUGUCUGCCCCCCACCCCCUCCUACGCCGGCAGCCAAUGGCGGCCUCCUCCUCCUCCUCCUCCUCCGCGCCAGCACACCCCGUGCGUGAAUCCUCUCUCCGGCAGCGGCGCAUUCCCUCCGCUUCUUCACCCUCGCCUCCCCGCCGCCUCCUGUUCGGCGGUGAGCCGUGAUGGCCUACUACGGUGGCUAUAGAUCAUGGACACCAUCAACCACGAGAGGAGAUGGUGUUGGGUGCUCUUACUGUGGUUCUUGCAGCAAUGGAUCAUGGGUCUCAUCUUCCGCACAGGAGGCAUUCAGUUGUGAUGGGCUGCAGUUGCUCUUCGGCAAUCGGCAUCUUCCGACCUUGAGGCAGGAAGGGGUGUUGCUUGCUCCGCAAGACAGAAAGACGACGGUUGCUAAGCUGAUCCUCACGACCAGAGUCCCAGCAGGUGCAUCUUCACCGGCCUCCACACCCCUGCAAGGACCAACACGGCCAGCAUCGGGCUUGUACCGACUCUGCUUCAGCGACGCCCACCAAGUGUUCGAUGCCAUGCCCCAGUGACGGGUCUGCGGGAUUGUGGCGAAAACCACUGUGUGCCUGUGUCUAUUGAGUGCCCACUAAAGAAGACAAAGGACCGGUGUGCGGAAAGUUGCUGCUUGACUGUUUGUCAAGUUCUGGUGCCUUUUGGCCUUUCCUGCUACAGUCGUGAUCAUUCGUUUCGAGCUCGUUCGCUAGUGAUGCCCAUACUCAGAAGGUGCUCGAUGAAAUGCUGAACAGGAGCAGGAAGAUAAAUUCAAUGGCUAACAGGACUUGGGAGCUGCUCACAUGUUGUGCUGAGCCGUGUGAUGUAAUCAAGCAUGAUCAAGUGUUCUGUUUGCCAUCGGAGUAUAUGUGAUUACCAGUGACAAGACCUGAGGAUUGUGCAAUGAAAACAUUGGUGCUGCUUAUUGUCAAAUGGUAUCAGUCGAUGUUGAGGAGGCUGGCUGAGGUGUUUGUGGAAAAACACUUUUAUCUUCCACAUGUUCCCUCUGCUGUGUUCCCCAUUGGAUCUAACAGCUACAUAUGUUUUUCAGAUUUACUCAGUGAAGGUGCUGACAUAGAGUGUUUCAGAUUCUUUCCACCAAAGAGGGCACACUGUGUAGUUUCACUGCUACUAGAGGUGUGCAGAUAUUUUGUGAGACUCGAAGGUAUUCUCUAUUGGAGGCGUCAUAACGCAUUUUGGCUUGUGGUAGAUCAAGUGUAGACAUGCGGUUGACCAUUACCUUAUAAAUGCAGGGAAGAUUUAUUCAAGCGGAGGCCAAUUAACGGCAGCAAAUGGAAAGGUGAUUACAACUCUUGCAUUGUUAAUUACAAAUGGAAAGGUGAUUACAACUCUUGCAUUAUCAAUAUGCGUCAACCUGUUAAUGUCAAUUUGGUGGAACUAGAGGGCAUUGUUAAUUAUCCUGAUGUAUUAGAAGGACGUUGGUCAUUAUUCACGAUGCAAGUGUACUUGGAUAUCCCGAUAUGCUGACAAUUCCUCACAUCCUUGUGGACUAUCAAUUGUCACCAAGAGACUUCGCUGAAAGUAGAACUACUAUAGUGGGAAGUCUGAGUCUGAAAGUGUGAGUGGUAUAUACAAUGGGACCCUGGAGUUCUGAAGUUCAUUCAUCUAAUAUCACGUGGUGGGUAAUUUGUCGGAGGAUGAGAUUGGAGGGCAUAACCGGGGUGAGUAAUGCGCCGAACCCCUGGACCUCUGCGUCGUGACUCCAACCAGGGAGGGGACUGUCGCACUGCAGAGGCAGGGGAAGACGCAUUAAGGGGGGUAAUUAGAUUCUCUAAUGCCUGCUCGAUCUGAUCAGGAGGUUGGCAUUAUAAAGCCAUCAUACAAGACUUGAGGCCUAAUGCCAGAACCCUAGCAAACUGAAAAAACUAAACAACUUGGAAACAAACUCUAGAAAUGCUAUAUAAUACUAAAUUGAAUGGAUGUGAAUUGAUUCCCUUAUUCACUCGCUGUUCUGUCUGCACCAGCUGAAGCCCUUAUGUGGCAUCAAAAUAAGUGGAUUUCAUGUCAAUCGGUAAGGCACCUGAGGCAUUCCAAACACUUCAGCAUAAAUAUGAAUUUACUAACUAGCUGGAUAUACUGGAGCUGAUGUAUUUCUCAACUCUGCCAUUUCUACUUCCAGUUCCAGGAGAGAGAAGGUGGCCACUGGAUUUGAAUUGAAUCAUAAUACUGAUAUUUUUGUUUCAUUGUUUGCAACUUUGCAAGAUACUACUCCCUCCGUUCCUUUUUAUAAGAUGCUCUAGCUCUGUCCUAAGUCAAACUUCUUGAAGUAAGUUUGACCAUAAUGUCUACAUUAUCCAAUAGUCUUGAGUUCUUAACCAAAGACAAGCACCAAAUAGGCCGGUGGUCAUUUCUCUUUCUCCAAAAUCAAAUUCCUGCGAGCUAUUAUUAUUCGUGGUGAAACACUCAUCCGCAUGCACUUUUUGCCAUUUUUUUCUCCCUCACAAGGGCCAAGAAUGUAGGCUGUGGUGGCUUACUGUACUCGUGUAUUUUGGAUUCGGAACACCACGCAAGAACAUAUUUUGACCGAGUGAUACAAUUACACUAAUUUCACUUUCACCCGAUUGCGGCUCUAUUUUUUUCUCAAACGCGCACCAAGGUUUGCAUCAUUUCCAUUUGAUGAAACACCAAGCAGUCGACAGGUCUUACAACCACAGAAACGAAAGGUGAACCAAAACCAGAGCCAAGCGGUAAGAGAAGAGAAAGCUAGGAAAAAGCUACAAAACCUAUUUCCUAAGAAAGAAGCUAUAAAGCCGAAAUCCAAAAAAACUGUACAACUACAGUACUGCUCCCUGUUCCGACUGAAUUACUGCUCUAAUAUACACAUGAGUGACUCCUGUUUACGCCUGGCAAAGUUGUGCACGACUGCACGGUUAAUUUUCAAUCAUAGAGCAACAUGCCUUUCAUUGAACACUACAAUGGGAUCUUGUGACAUUGCUAGCCAUUUGAUGGUCUAUAAUUUCUUUUGUUCUACUUUCCCUCCAAGAUACUUAUCGAAAAUUGAAAAUAAUCAGCCUGAAAAAAGUACAUAGUGCUGUGGAAUAUUAUUAUUUGAAAUCAUUGUAGUUAGCGAUAGUUAUCAUGGAUGAUGGUAACUAUUUGAUGUAAAAUAAGUUGGAACAAUCCAUCUUACAACUCAAACUACAAUCAAAUUGCAAAUAUUUCUCAUCGCAAGCCCCAACUAUUGUGCCUAUUUUAGAACACUUGAAUGUUAGCGUGUGUACUUCUAUUGCAUGACUUCACUUGGACAAUCCAAAGAAGAAAGCAUGCCAAAAGAUACAUCCUUUCUGCUCAUCUGUUCUUCUUGGCUGCUUGGCCUGUAGUACGAAUCUGGUUCACUGCUUUAGGUAAUACUUUUUUGAGUAAAAUACAUCAUAGGUCCUAUAACUAUUCGAGGUAUGUCAACUGAGUUCUAAUUCUAUCAAAGUGCAUAUUUGGAUCCUAAUUCUUUGUAAGUUGUUCACGCGUGGUCCUAUUCGAACCAGAGCCGCUGCUGACCGGCCUUGUGGCAUGUUGACCGCCACGCUGGCUAACUGACAAGUCGCUGAAAAGUCCAAAUAAGCCCAACCUUUCCGUUUUACUCAUUCUGCGGUCCUUUCCCCUGAUUCUCCCCACCUCGCUCGGAGCAUAGGAACUUGCAGGGGCUGCGGUGUUGGAGGGAAUCCCUUCUUCUUGCCUCUCUUCCACGCUGCGGAAGAGGCACUUGCGGUCGAGACAUGGCAGCGGGCCGGCAGCACGGGCAGCUCAAGCAACGGGAAGAAGAAAGAGAAGAAUGAUAGAAAAUUUGCAACUGGAGUCUCCAUUCUUUAUAAGGGGAUUUAUGCAAAAUUCCAGACCACAGGAACGGUGGGACCUUGGCCGACGUGGCAGCGGUCAACAUGCCACCUGGCAGGUCAGCAGCGGCUCGGGCUCAAAUAGGACCAUGCGUGAACAACUUACAAAGAAUUAGGGUGCAAAUAUGCACUUUGAUAGAAUUAGAACUCACUUGACACACCUCGAAUAGUUACAGGACCUGUGGUGCAUUUUACUACUUUUUUUUGCGCAUACACUGCUUUAGGUAAUACAACUAGCUGUCGCUCUCUUUUCACCCUCUAUCAUGUACAUAUCUUUCUGGCAUCUAUACAUGGCCUAAUUCAUAUUUUUAUCAAUUAUUAUUGAGAUUACAUGGCUGUGGCAUAACUGUUCCCAGUUUCCUCCAUUGUGCAUUGUGGCAAGUGCUCUUUGCAUCACCACUACCUCGUUUUAGAGUAAGCCUGACAUUGUGCAAGGCUAUGCCAUGGCAAGGUACAGUUGGACUGCAAUUCAGCUUGAUAGCUUCUCUUGAGGCACUUGUACCCCUGAUGUUCUUAAACAACACAUUACUCACCUCCACUGCCGAUUGCUGCGACAAUUGCACAGGUCAUAUCUAUGCACAUAACAAAUGAACAAAACCAACUUGGUUGUCGAGUUUGUACCUGUUUCUUACAUGGUGUAGCAGAGUCGCAAUAGUUCUGGUUGAUAAUGAUUGGGUUCCAUACAUUAUCCAUGAUUAUGUUCUGGAACACGAUAUUCUUUGCAUAACCACGUCCCCCCUGCCAUGUCUUGAUACGAGCUCCAUUUGUCGUGCCAUGUAGUCGCACACCGUCGAUGGUGAUAUUUGCAACUUCAGCUUCAGAGUUGCGAUCACCUAAGCUCCCAAUGCUGAUCCCAUGACCUGGUCCACACACGAUGUUCUUCACAUGUAGGUUCUUAGUUCCGUCCUCGAUUGACAUGCAGUCGUCCCCAGUCUUGAUUGCGCAGUCUCUGACUUUCACAUCCUUACUAUGGGCGAUAUGGAUGCCGUCAGUGUUGGGGCUAGUGCUGGGGGCUGUGAUUGAUAGGCGGGAUAUCCUUACAUCACUGCAACACUCCACUGACAUGUGGAUUUGUUGGCUAUUUAACAGUUCUAAAUUGUUUACUUUCAGGUUUGUACAAGAGUAGAACGUCAAAGCCUGCAAAUUGAAAAGAAAAAUAGUCGAUUUGUAAUGAAGAAAACAAGGCUAGUUCACUGUGAUAAAGAUAAGAAGAUUGUAGAAGUGCACUCACUGCUGGAGAUUGUCUGCAAGGCUGAAAGGAAAAGAAAAGAAUAAUUUAUAUUGCUUUCAGAAAAUAUGAAUCUGUGCUUUUCAAACAUAGCACUAAUGGAAGCUGUAUUAGUUAACCUUUAAACUUGAAAGUGACAUCACAUUUUCACAGUGCUAGGAGAUACAUUUCAUUAGUGAACAAUUUAAAAGUUCAAAAUACUUACGAGUUCUGCAUUUACUUUGCAGGAGUUCUGCCACCAUAUCUUGCCAUUUCCAUCAAUGGUCCCACCACCAGUGACAGUCAGACCUCUCACAGCUUUGAACAGAAUCCAGUGCCUAAUGGUUUGCUCGAUCCAAUAUGAUCUCUUUUGAGGAGCCACCAAAGUACCCUCUAUCUGGAAUUUGGUGGAAUUUGAGAUCUUUGUUUGGAAAAUUUCUUAUGAAAACAAAGAAUAUAUGCAUUGUUCUUGUUAUCCAUCUAUCUCACCAUUAACUUAAUAUUGGAUUUGCAUGGGCCAGAAAAGGUUACAUGCUUCGUGAGGUAUUUAUUGCCCUUGGGAAUGAGCAGAAUGCCAGGAUGAGAAGAGGAGCAAGCUGCAGCCCACGUCUUUUCCAGUGCCUACAAGAAGGGGAUGCACAAAAAACCUGUGGUAAGCAUUCCAUGUUCACUUUCAUGUCUAGGGAAAGAAAAAUCAUGCUCUAUAUUUCAAGGUGUUGUUGCAUUUCACGUACCUUUGUGUCAUCAUGGCGUCCAUCCCCAUGAGCCCCAUAUCUGAGCACAUUGAAGACAUUAUUUGAAGCUAGAAACCGGCCUCUGUGAUCAACCCCAUUUGUCAAAGGGAUCACUUCCAUGUGUCCCUUGGCGAGUACACAGCACACUAACAAUGGCACUAUACGGAACGCAGAGAAAGCGAGCACAUUGGAGGCCAUUUGUAGAAGUAGAAGAAUGCCUCCUUAGGUAUGUGGUGUUGUAUGCAACGACUGAUGGGAUCAAGCCUAACAUCGGUAGGAUUAUUUGUAGGUGCCAAGUUGGGUUGGAAA